AAAAAAAAGUAUCAGAUUCUCAUAACAUCGAACACCAUUCCUCGAUCUCGCUUGAACUCAUCCAUACAUGUAAAACCAAUUUACAACUACUAAACACAGUCAUGAUCGACAUCUUAACUAUUAAUUACAUAACAAACAUUUACUGCACACAAACAUGCAAGGUAAACAAAAUGAAAGAACUGUGCAAUACACAUUAUCGAUUCUAACAACUGUAUGUUAUAAUGGAGAGAAACACAGCAAGCUCCCCACUUCUGAAGUCCUCAACAUCUUCACUGUGACGCUAGCACAAAAUUUUCCGAACAGAAAUUUCAUGUGUGCCUAGCCUGAGGCUUUUAACCCUUAACUCUGUAGACGUUAACGUCUUUCUGCGAAUGCGCUGAAGCCAAAUCUCAAAGAUUUGUAACAUUCGACUUGAUCAGUGGUCACAGAAAGAAACCCUAAAUCCGAUGGCACAGAAUAGAGAAAGUUGUGCACUAAAAUACAGCCCACCAACAAGACUUGUCCGGUCCUCAAAUCUCUGAUAUAGGAUGAACGCUAUACCUGAGCCCCUGCUCACCGCUCCUCUCUAUCCAUUAAGUGUUAAACGGGAUAAAACAUCUUCCUUGAGCUUCGAAAUCAAGUCCUGCGCUUGAGGCGUCCAGAAUGGGAGCGUGCUCAUCUGGUCAUUGAAUUGAUCGAACAGAUAGCGAAUCUCGUCCUCUUUGCUACCUUGACCCGCUUCUUCCGGUUCAUCUUAGAUAAUCCGAUCCGGUAUAUCGAGUUGGUUGGGUGAUGUAUUAAGCCAACUGUCCACUAGCAGCAGCAGCUUGCGCAAAGAGGCGUACCUUAGGGAUUCACUUACAACAAAGUCCCUAAACGCACAACCUAGGUCAUUGUGAGCACGAAAUAGAUGAUUCUCGAAGUACUCAGCAUUGUAGUCCCUCCUCCCCAUAAGGUAUUCUGCCGCAUCAAACGCCCACUUCUCCAUACUCACAAGGUCUUCAGCGGCACCAAACUGCCGCUCGUCGAUGUUCAAAGGUACAAGCUCUGCUUUCAGUUCAUUUGCAAUGAUUGUAAACGCUAUGUCAGAAACGACUUGGGGCACUGUUUCGGGCUGGCCAGGCAAUCUAUUCAGGAAGCGGUUCACUUCUGGCUCGUGCUGUUUGAAUACCGAGUACCUUUUGGAUUCAAGUUUAACAAAUUCUUCAUACGAAACACCUUGAUCUUUGUGUGUUCGAAAUACGUGGUGUCCAAAGGCCUCAGCAUCGUAGAUCCUCCUCUCUGUCAGGACUUCAGCCGCAUUAAACGCCCACUGCGCCUCUUCUACACUGCCAAAGGUUCCGAUCCAAAUUCUUCCACCAUGAUUCGUGCGCACUUGCACCGUCCACCUAUCACCACGUCGCCGGCGGAUGUAUCCCGUCUGCCCCUCCAUCAAAAGAAUUGCAGCUCAAACACAACGUAAAACACAAAAGGCUUCGCCACCAAGUGCAACUCCCGGUCUCCCUUCCCUGUAACCCAAUUCCGCUCGUUCUCGCUCUUCCUCUCUCGAACAACGCCUCUCCUAUUACGACGUCGGCGAAUUGAGAGCAGGAGCACGAAGGGAUACGAGACCCUAAAUCACUAAGGAACUCUCAACAUCGAAGCCUCGGCGUCGAUCCCUCCGAUGCUGGAGCUGUAUAGCGAGCAAUAUGGUGUAAGGGUCUAAAGGAUCUGACUCUUACACUUCUUGUUGAGUCAAAAGGUAAUUGGAGCCCCCGCGAUCUCUAAGCCCAUGGGAAAGCCGUGGCGAGGUGGCGAUGGAGUGGAUGGGCGGGCCACCUCCCUCACACCGAGGAACCACACGAUGCGGGGGCAGCGUGUGGUGUGAGGGGGAGUAUUUUGGAGUCCCUGUGGAGUCCCGGGUGAUCCGGAAGAGUCAGGAGGACUUACACCGACCACCGGAGUUUAGCUUGCUGGCGGCAUGAGUCUGGAGUUACAGAGACCAGACUGUGGUGACAGUAUCCGGGAGUAGGGUCCAGUUCACAGGGCCAGUAUUAAUGGGGUUUCUUGUUGGUGGCGUUUCAGGGUGAAAUCGAGUGACCAGCAAGAGGAGAACCGUUACAUGUGGUAUGAGAGCUUGUUUUAGAUCGGUAUUGAGAAGUAGAUUGGAGGGAAAUUUCUGGAACCAAUCUUUGGACUAAGGCAAGAGAAGCAUUGGCACAAGAUGGGGAAGAAAACUACCAAAACUGCCUUUCAACUAUUGGACAAGGAUGAGAUCCUUGAGACCGAAGUGCAAGAGGGUCAAGAAGUAGCCAAAUCCAAAUCCAAAAUGAGUUUGGUGAAAAAGAAACCUUUGCUUGAAGAGGAUCUUUCUCUCAUCCAGGUGAUGGAUAGUGAAGAGGAAGUUGAAAGAGAGCAAGAGAAGUUUCAAGAAAGCUUGCAAGAAAUUCAAAAAUCUCAUAGUGAUGAGGAAGAUAUUGAUAAAGAAGGAAGGAAUCCUAGAUCACAAAGACCUACUUCUUCCAAGACCUCUAAGGACUCAAUAGAAGAAUCAAGAGUAGAGAAACAAAGAGUUGUUUCCCUUGAUGAAGUUGAGAAAAUGGUCAUGAGGUUGAUGGAAGAGAGAGACCAGGAGUUUGAGAAGAAGAUGGAGAUGAACCAACUUCUGAUAGACUCCUUGAUGAGAGAAAAUGUGAGAAGAGAGGCCUUACUUGAAGGUCAAAAAGGCAAGCUAAGUUCUCACAAAGUCAAGACUCAUCAACCAAAAAAGUAGAAGGGCGUAGAGCACAAAAAGACUGUAAGGAGAUUUCUUAAGAAAAUUGAACAUUGGCAUUUGGCCAAUGAUAUUGAAAGGGAUGUGGAUAAAAUAAGGACUUUGUCUACAUUACUGGAGGGAAGUGCUUUAGAUUGGUUUGAUGAAGAAAUCAAAAUCAAUCCUAACUAUGCCAAAGAAACCACUUGGGCUCGAGUCUGUGAGAGAUUGAUAGCUAGAUUUGAGAGUAAGUGGCAAAACUUCAUUGAAAGAUUGCAACUUCUCAAAUUAAGGCAAGAAGGAGGAAAAGCCUCACUUCUGAAGUAUGUUGGUGAGUUCCAAAACCAACUAACCUAUACUCAACUGGACUAUGAAAAGUGUUUAUUGCUUUUUUUUUAUAAUGGAUUGAGUAUUGUUACAGGAAAGAAAUAUUGGAAAAGAAAAACCAUACUUAUAAAUAUUAAUGAUGCAUUUGCCUUGGCUUGUUAACUUGAAUUGGAGGAAUAAGGGGCGGGUCAUAGUGAACAAAGCACUAUGACUAAAACAUAGGAAAGAAAGACUAGUUUCCAAAGGGGAAUUAGGCCCUUCCAUGGAAGUAAAAAAUCACCUUUUCUCAAGAGGAAAUUUGAAGAAAGUGUUUCUCAAGUUGAGAAACUUAAGAUUAAAGAAAGUCAAGGGAGUAGUACUAAGAAGGCAAAAACAAGUUCUUCUAAAGUAAUUUAUUUUAAGUGUCAAGAAAAGGAACACUAUGCAAAUGAAUAUAAGAAUGAAGAAGUGCCUAGAAAGGUAAGUGAACUUCCUAAUGCUUCUUUGUCAAAUGAGACUCUUGAAGUAGAUUGUCUUCAAGUUAUGAGUCUUAGUAAAAAAGUUUUGGUUAAGAAAGGGGAUUUUUAAGGAAAACUCACUGCCAUUAGUUUGCAUAAGAAACUCAUUUAUCUUGAUACUAAAGUUGAAAAUUAUGAAACUUCUAUGUUGAUUGACACAGGGGCAAUCAACUCGUUUAUGAAUCCAACUUGUGUCCAAAGACUCAAGUUGAUUUAGGAGGAAACUAGGAGGGUGAAGAUUUUCUUUGCUUAAGGCAAGGAAGUGACCAACUUAGUUGUAAAAGAUGUGAAGUUUAAGUAUGGAAACCAUAGGUUUCAAGAAGACUUCACAGUUUGUAACCUUGAUGGAAUAGAUGUAGUUCUCGGAAAUACUUUUCCGGACUUCUAUGGAAUUGAAUUUCGAUGGAAGCCCAAAACCAAAGUAGUCAUGGUUGGAGAAAAUAAAAAAGUAGUAAACUUACCAUUUACAAACCUCCCCAUGUUAUAUCAAUCCAGGAUUUCCAUAGUAUCUCAGAGUGAAUUAGAAGGGAAACAAUUUCUCUUCCACUUGAGAAGUUGUGAUAUGGAUCCCGUAGAUGAUGUAAAAAAUGUUUCUUUUCUUAAUAAAAAAGACUUGAUGAAAACUACUUCUUAUUGUGCAAACUUAAUUGCUGAUCUUUUAAAUGAAUAUGGAGAUGUUUUGACAAAAGAACUUCCAAAACAACUUCCACCAAGUAGAGUGGUAGAUCAUAAGAUAGAUUUGGUACCGCAUUCACAACCUCCAAGUAGAGCACCUUAUCGAUUAAACCAAAGAGAGUUCAGUGAAUUCAAAGCAUAGCUUAAUGAGUUGCUUGAAAAAGGGUAUAUAAAACCAAGUAAAUCUCUAUUUGGAGCUCCAGUUCUUUUUGUGAGCAAAAAGGAUGGAAAAAUGAAGAUGUCCAUUGAUUAUAGAGCCUUAAAUAAGAUCACCAUAAAAAAUAACUAUCCACUUCCAAGAGUUGAUGACUUACUGGAUAGGUUAGGUGGUAGUAGAUGUUUUAGUAAGAUUGAUCUUGAAAGUGGAUAUUACCAGAUAAGGAUAGCUCAAGAAGACAUUGAAAAAACUGCUUGUAGAAGGAGAUAUGGUUCCUAUGAGUUUGUAGUAAUGCCUUUUGGGUUGUAUAAUGCACCUACUACCUUCACUACUCUGAUGAACUCAAUCUUUCAUAAGGAAAGUGAUGAGUUUGUAGUGGUGUAUAUUGAUGAUAUUCUGGUUUUUUCUAAAAUUGAGGAAGACCAUUAGCUAUACCUGAGGAUCGUCUUACAGAAACUAAGAGAUAAUCAAUUGUAUGCUAAUUUAGAAAAAAAUAUGUUCUUUUUAAAAGAAUUAGAAUUUCUUGGACAUAUCAUCAAUGAAGAUGGAAUAAAACCAGACCCAAAGAAGAUUGAAGCAAUAUGAAAUUGGAAAGUGUUGAAAACUCAAAAAGGAGUGAGAUCCUUUUUAGGACUAGCAAAUUAUUAUAGGAAGUUUAUAAAGAACUUCUCUAAAAUUGCUAGCCUACUUACUAGCCUAUUGAAAAAGAAAAACAACAUCAUUGAUUGGAAUGAUGAUUGUAGUGCAUCUUUCAAAAAAAUCAAGGAUGCCUUUGUAUCAAGUCAUGUCUUGUUCUAUCCUAAAUUUGAUAUGGAAUUUGAAGUCUAUACUGAUGCAAGUGAUUUUGCUACAGGAAGAGUCUUAAUACAAGAAAGGAGACCGAUAGCAUUUGAGAGUAAGAAAUUAAGUGGGAGCUAAUUGAGAUGGCCAACCCAUGAAAGAAAAUUGUUUGUUGUGAUAUAUUGUUUGAAAGUUUGGAGAUACUACUUGAGAAGUAGAAGAACCAAAGUAUACACUGACAACAUUUCUUUAAAGUAUUUUACUUCCUAAGCUCAAGCCUCACCUAAGGAACAAAGGUAGUAUGAUGUGAUAGUGUCAAUGGAUAUUGAACUAAUUUAUAAAUCGGGCAAAGACAACUUGGUGCCUAAUGUACUAAGUAGGAGAAAAGAGUUUGUAGAAGAGAAACUCCAUGAUUCUAUGACACUAAAGACUAUAGUGUAUCAUGAUGAUUCUCUCUUGAUGAAGGACAUUAAGAAAGAUUAUGAACAAGAUAAGGAUGCACUUGAGAUUAAAAAAGCCUUUGCUGAAACCAAAACUACAAGAGAACAGAGGAGACUUAUGGAGGUCUCUUCUAUAAGAAAUAGAUUGAUUUGAUUUAAGCAAAGUAGACUCUAUGUACCAGAAGGUAAAUGGAGAAGAAAAUUAAUGUAUGAAAUACAUGAUUCUUUACGUGGUGGAUAUAGAGGUAGAAAGGUCACUCUUAAAGAAAUGACAAGAUUCUACUAUUGGUCUUCUAUAAAGGAAGAUAUGGACCAAUAUGUGAAGAGUUGUUUAGUUUUUCAAAGGAAUAAAAACUCUACUUAGGCAAAGAAUAGACUCUUAGAACCAUUGCUUAUUCCAUCUCUACCUUAUAGAGACAUUUCAAUGGACUUCAUAAUUAGCUUACCAAAAUGUAGUGAAACUAACUUCAUAAUGGUAGUUGUUGAUAGAUUCAGCAAGAGUGCUAGAUUUGUAUGAAUGACUAUAUUUCCAAAAGAUUCAAAAGAGGCAAUAGAAACUGCUCCGGAAUUAACAGCAAGUGUAUUCUUUAAUAAUUGGAUUUCUUUGUAUGGAGUGCCAACCUAAAUUGUAAGUAAUAGAGAUGUGAAAUUCACAACUUAGUUUUGGCAACAUGUUAUAAGGAAAUUAGGUUUUAAAGUCAUAUUAACCAUUACUUGACAUCCACAAGGAGAUGGCCAAACUGAGAGACUCAAUGGAAUUCUAUCAAUGUAUCUAAGGCACUAUGUGGCAAGUGAUCAUAAGGAUUGGGUCAAAUCGCUGCCCAUAGCUGAGUUUAGUUAUAAUACAAUUCAGAAUGUGUCUUUAGGAAAUACACCAUUCCAAGUAGCUCAUAGCUUUAAUGCUCUGCAACCUAUAGAUUUGGUAGGAGUCAGAGAGAGUGAUGAAACAACUUCACGGUUUUAUUCAAUUAAAGGGACAAAGUGGGUGGCCAAACAGGAAGGCAUAUUAUAAACCGCUAAAGCUAGACUGGAAUUAGUCCAAAGAAGAUACAAGAAACAAGCAAAUAGGCAACGAAGGGAUGUACAAUUUGAAAAAAAGAACAAGGUUUGGUUGAAUAUAAGUAACCUCACUUGUCCAACACAUCUUACUCCCAAAUGGAUCAAAAAAUGGGCAAGUCCUUAUAAAAUUGAAAGAGUGAUAUAUAAGAAUGUCUAUGUGUUGGACAUACCUAAAAGAUUGAAGUGGCAUCCGGUUUUCCAUAUAAGUGUUCUCAAGAAAUUUGUGAAGGAUGAAAAAGACUUUCACAAAGAGAAGGGAAGAAUUCUACAUGAAGAGAAAAUAUGGGAUCAAACCAUGGAUCAAGUAGAAGCGAUACUUGAUAAGAAACGGACGGAUGUUAGAGGGAUUUAAUACUUAUAUACCGUGAUUGUCGUUUUACUUAUUCUAUAAUUCUUUUCAAAAUAAACUUGUAUAGAGAAAUUCGAACACAGGGAAAGACUAAGCGCAUGAGCUUUUCUUGUUAGGGUCACUCAAUUAACUGUUAUCAAAACCACUAAAAUACCAAAAAACACUAAAAUGCUUUCUCCUAGUAAUAAUACCCUUUCAUCAAUUGAAACAACAGUGUGCAACCUUGCACUCUUAAAAGACGGUUCAAAACUCAUAAAUUCCAUUCAAUAUCAAGAAUAAUAGACUUCACUCCAACCAAUCUGAAUUCACAAAUUUUUUGUAAUCAUAGACUUCUUCUGUCCAAAACACACACAACUCUCAAUAAACAACAAUCAUUAUCUUCCAUCCAUAAUCAAUCUUCCAAUAACUUCUCAUAUAAUUCAAUCACUCAGUAUACCAAUUACAUAACCAAUAAUUCAUAAAUCAAUCUCUGAUUUAUUCCACAGACUCACUUUUCAGUAUUCAGAAACUAUCCAUUACUCUUCAACAACAAAGAAAACAAAGAAAAUAAAGAGGUAUCACCAAGCUUAAUCUCGACUCAUGACUAUUACAGUCUGACACUCCAACAAACUUCUACAACUCCUAUAUAAUUGCUACUGAUUUCCAGAUUCUAAUCGUAAUCCUAUAAUAACUGCUUUUAAUAAUUGAAUCAAUCAUCCAUCCUCCUAAACUGACUAUUCUAUGGACUAUUAAUCUAUUUUAUCAAUAUCUUACAAAAACAAACUAAUAGCUAUUCUUCAUAGCUCUAUUUUUAUCUGUGCAGCAUCCUCACAAACACACAAUCGAUUCAUAUCUAAAAACUACUUAAUAAAACUCUACAAAAUUACUAUCUCCUCUGGUCCACCCAAUUAAUCAUUUGCUAUAUUAUCUAAUGUAGGUUCUACCAAAACUGAUUCUAAAUUCAAAUCUUCCUCCUCCUCUAAUCUGUCUAUUGACUCCUUCUUCAAAUCGUUUGAUAGAUCUUCAUUAAACUUACCCAAUUCACGGACUUGAGCCUCUAGUUUCAAGAUCUGGACAUCACAGAGUUCCAACUAAUGCGACUGCUGACUCAUCCAUUCUAGAACAUCUUCAAUUGACACUUAUGACUGGCUUCUCACUAUUAACUCUUUCAUCAAUUUUGUCACCUCAGCUUGUAAAACUUUGAUUUCGGACCUCAAUUUCUCCGUUUUGCAUCUAGAUUGGUCACUCAAUGCUUCUUUCUCUUUCAUCAAUAACUCUGCCUUGUCACCUUCCGCCUGCAACUGGCAUUUGAGUUUCUUUCAUUCUAAAUCUCAUGUCUUGUGAUUCUGGAUCAAUUCGUCUCGUUGUCCUUCCACAAUCCAUAAAGUAUGUUCUUUUUCUUUCGUCCAAGAUUCAUAUUAGUGAAUCCAUUUCCGCUCCAAUACUAGCUUAGAUUCUCCAAUUUCUUUUAUCACCCGUUCUUGCUCUUCAAUUCUUCGAUUUUGCUUUGAUAUCACCUUCUUACUAUCCUCUAAAUCCUGUUUGCUAUUGCCUUCUACAUCCAAUUCUCACACCAUACAAUAUAUUUGUGAAAUGUGCUUCAAUAAAGCAUUCUUUAGAGGUAUUCUUUCUAUCAAUCGACCUUGUCAAAACGCCAACUGAUUAAUAUCCAUCCAAAUUGGGAUUUCAUUUUUCUCUCCCAUUGCUAAACAAAUUGGAACCCGUUGUGAUUCAAUAAAUGGAACGACCUCUUGUGCCACUAUACGACUUGACUCCCCAAUUUUGUGUAUUAUAUCCGCUGUAUUGACAUUCUAUGCCAACAAAUUUUGUUCUUUCUGUGGAGGUACUAACACGGGUAUAGAACUUUCCUCUACUAGCAAUGUUUGAUGCAAUAUGUGUGUGAUCAAAAACAUACACAUAAUUGGAAUAAAGUAAAUAAGUAAACUUUUCUAAUUUCUACUUGGCUCCUAUCUUCGCAUGAAUAUAAGUGGCUAUGUACGCUGCUCAGUUAAACACCAUGCCUUCCAGCACCUCUAUUGCUGCAUACAAAAAUUUUUUGGACAUAUAUGUGGAGUGUCGGUAUCAUAUUACGUGCUUUCUUGCUCGAGAACGUGCCGGGCAUCUGGCUGUAGAAGGUAGUAUGGAGAUUCGCCAAUAGUCAAGCAGUCUAUCAAUUUUUGACUACUGGAAUAUAAACGAUUGCAAGAAUACACCGUAAAUCUAUACGGAUGCCCUUCGACUGCUUGUCGAAGUCCUUUUUGCCCCAGCCGGUAGGUCUCUAGACGUUACAGAGAACCCCGAACAACCCAAUCAGCUAAUCUCCGAUACCGCUUUGUACUUACGAUCUUGUAUCCACUGACUGUCUUAUUAGAUUAACCCAAUAAAUUUCAUUCACUCCGCAUACUCAAUCCUAUAGACACCUUUUUAAGCCUUCAAUCACAGACGUAACUCGAUUUCACAAAAUAAUCAAGAGUAAUCAAAUCCACUUCAUUAAAAAAUCCCGAUUCACCAUUACAACACUGACUUCAGCAAUGAUUGCCUCAGUCUUCCCAAAACUCUAUGAAGAAGAAAAAUCCAAUUCUCCAUCUUUUCUUUCCCGACCCGAAGCAUGAAACUCUUCUCCAAUCCCCUUGAUCUUCAAAAACCUCCAAUGAAAAUGAACUAGUAACCUUAAAAAGAGCUUGAAGCUAGCUCCCCGAUCCAAAAAAAAAUCCCCCCCCCCAACUUAUUCUCCUCCUAACCUUAUCCUCUGAAUUUCUUCAAUCUUCCGUCUUGGAUUCGAAAUUGGCUCCCAUCGUCAAAGCUUAAAUUCAAAAUUGGCUCCUGCCGUCAGAGCUUUCUCCUCCAUUUUUACCUUUAAGAGAUCCAUUUACUGAAAACAACCUUCCUUGAAAUAGCACAGAGAAUAGGAUAGCCUGAAACAGAAUCGAAACCCCGUACUCGGGUCUACAUUGAGUCGCCAGACCAAUUCAGGUCUCAUAUUAGAUAAGAGUCCAGUACUAAGAUCCGGAUUUUCCCGUAAUUAGACUGCAUUGGAUUGCCCGACCAAUGUAGGUCUCAUAUUGGGUACGAUGUCCGUAGUAACCUGGAUGUUCCCAUAAUUAGACUGCAUUGGGUUGCCCGACCAAUGCUGGUCUCAUAUUGGGUAAGAGGACCCGGAUUGGAUUCUCGAAAUUGGAUCUAAUUGGCUCUUCGAACCAGGCUCACCCGUCGCGUGAAUUGGUCCUUUCCCUUCUUGCUGACUCUCGUUAUUUGAAUCGAACGGAGCAUUUCAGUAUGCCUCGGCUAACUGUAACGGGGUGACUGAACCUAACCACUCAGUAUUUGCACUGGAGUUGGUCGUUGCUCCCAAUAUUCGAGGUAACUGAAUAUUAAUAAAAGUCCCAUUUCUUUAUAUUUUCACGGUAUACUCAUGUUACAACACGACAUCCACCCCCUUUGAACCUGUGCAUCCUCCGGUAUGUACCAAUUUAUCCAAUUGCUGUUUGAUUCAGAAUAUAUUCUCUACGUCUUUGCCCAAUUCGUCUUCGUCACCUUCAUUAUCCAAAUCACUUUCAUCUUCUUGCUGCGGAAUCUCUAUACCUUCAUUAAGGUCUUCCAUAUUCAUUUCCGAGUGUCUUCGUUUAAAUAUUUUUACUCGCUUUCCUGCAAUUGGUAUUUUCAAUUUUAUACCAUUUAACUCCCGUAAUGAGUAAGUCGCAUUAUCAUGAACUGUUGUUACCACAUAUGGUCCAAACCAACGUUUUAAAAAUUUCCGUAAAGUACUAUGUUGAUUAUCCAGACUAUUGUCAUAAACAAGUACCCAGUCACCUUCCUCGAUUGCUUUUGGUCUCAAUCGAUGUUGCUUAUCAAAUCGCGCCUUGUUUUGUAACCUUGCUCUUUUUAACCUUUCCAAUGCUAUCUGGACAUCUUCCGUUCUUUGCUCCAAUUAACGAAUCCUAAUAGCCAGAAGUUCUUCUCUUGUCAAUCCAUCUUCCCAUGGUAGCAUACUCCAAGUAAGUACCUUUUCUUCAAUCGGCAUAAUUGGUUUUUGACCUGUCAUAAGUUCUACUGGCAUAUAUCCUGUCACCAAACUAUGUGUUGUUCGAUCAGCCCAUAAUGCAAAUGACAAAAGCCGUGGCCAUUCUUUAACUUUCCCAUUACAAGCUUUAACCAAUGCUUUCACAAUCGGUGGGUGACCGAGUUUGCUUUUUGCAUUUCCUUCUGGAUUAUAAGCAGUAGUCAAUGAUAGUUUAACUCCACAUCUUUCAAAGAACUUACGAGCUUCUUGUGCAUUUAAUUCUCCACGAUCUGCAGUGAUUUUUCCUACGCACCUGUAACGGCAAAUGACAUCUUCGAGCAAAAACCUACAAAUCUCCUCUGUAGAUUUUGUCCUCAAUGCUCUUCCUUCUAUUUGAUUUGAUAAAUCUUCACGAGCUAAAACGAAAUAUCUUAUCUGCCAUAACCCAACCGGCAUAAUAGCCAAAUCAACAACCCAUUUAAAAUGAAUAGCCAGAGGAUACGUAGGAUGAAGACCAUCUCGAUGUCGGAUAUUAGAAUACGAUUGACAAAUUUCACAUGACUCUACAAAUGAGAGCACAUCUCGAUACAUAUUUUUCCACCAAUAUCGUUCUUUGAGUUUAGCAAAAGUAGCCCAGAUUCCUCUAUGCCCUGCCUAUAAACUAUUAUGAAACUCCUUUAAUAAUUUUAGUCUUUUUUCCUUUUUGCCUAUCACUCGUUGUGGCAUUCCAAUUCCUUUCUUCAGUCUCUUCCAUAAGAAUCCAUCUCGAAGUAAAAAUCCAUAUGCUUUUUUUUUUAUUUGUUUGAAUUUUUCUGUAGACCAAUUCGCCUGCGUAGUCAAGGUAUUCAAGUAAUGACCAAUAUCCAAUAAUUCUCCUUCAUAAGAUUCUUCAAGAAAUAGCUUGUCUUCUCUGUUGAGAUUUGAUAUUGAAUAGAAUUUCAAUCUGACGUCAUCAAUGUCUUCAACCAUUUCGUCCUCCCUAUCAUAUCUUGCUCGAGAUAGCAUGUCUGCUACUAAAUUGUCCUUCCCAGUAAUAUGCUUAAAUUCUGGAUUUAGUGACUUAAUAUAAGCAAUCUAUCUCAACAUUGCAAUAUCUGGUGUUGAACAGUUAAUAAUCAUUCCAAGCAAUGGCAAGCAAUCUGUUUCAAUUACUACUACUGCCCCAAUCAAAUAGUCCUUUUCAGCUUUCAUAGCCGAAACGACUCCCCAAAGUCUCUUUUGACUUGCGAAUAUGCACGCUGACGAAUACUUAAAACUUUAGCCCUAAAUGAAACUGCAAAUCUACUCCCAUUUGAAUCAUCUUGACCCACAGCCCAUCCAAUGGCAAUUGGACUAGCGUCCACAGUAAGAAUCAUUGGUCUAUUGCACUUAUAAUCAACCUUCCUCAAUAUUGGAGGUGACAUCAAUAAUUUCUUCAAUCUUUGCAUUACAUGAAUAUGCCUUUCUUCCCAUUUAAGUCGGUAACCCUUGCGUAACAGUUCAUAUAAUGGAUCCGCUAUGUGAGCAAAAUGAGGGAUCCAGAUUCGAUAAAAUAUACAUGCACCUAAAAACCUGCGAACCUCUGUUAAAGAAUCACAAUCCUCUUUCAUCCUUCCAAUUGCAUCAACUUUAGUCGGAUCUGGUUUUCUUCCGUAUGAUCCACAUAAAUGUCCAACAAUUACAACCUCUCGUACUUGUUAGGGACAUAGUCCUUAGACCUUUCUAGAGACAAGUUUCUAGAACCUUCUAGAAAGAAGUCUCUAGAAACUUCCAGAAGAUUUCUUGAAUAUUCUCUUAGAAUAUUCUUUAAAGAUCCCCUAAAGAUUCUUUAAAGAUUCUUUUAGAAGUUCCUAAAAGAUUCUUAGAAUAUUCUAGUAGAUUCUAGGAAGUUACUUGAGAAGCUUCCUAGCUCUUGGGUAGUUGCUCGAGAAGCUUCAUAGUUCUUGGGAAGCUUCUUAAUGCGCUUCCUUAGAACCAUAGGCCAGUAGUAUAUAUAGGAGUUGAGGCUGAAGAGUUCUUUAGUCUCGACAACACACCUCUUGAAGCUCUAGCUCAAUUCUCUUGGCGUUGCUCUUGUACUCAUCUGAUAAUCUAGUUCUUGUCAUUUCUUCUUGAACUUCUUGUUUAGAUUUCUUGUUUGUAUUUUUGGUACGUGACAGUUUGUCGAGACUACCUUUAUCUUAAUAUCAGAGCUGAAUCCUUCUUGUUUGAGAGCGGAUUACCCCUCUCCUUGAAGGUAUUCUAGCGCUUUAGGGGUUGCGGAUUACCUUCCUCUAAACUGAUAUUUUCUCAAUCACAAUAUCAGAGCUUAGUUCUUUGAGGCAGAGAGUGGACUACCCCUUUCCUUGGAGAUACUUGAGCGUUCUAAGGGUUGCGGAUUACCUUCUCUUGGACUGAUAUUAAUUCCUUCUUUUUGUUUAGCAUAGCUAGUAAAAAUGACUGUUAACAUCGAUUUCAGAGCUUUGCCUUCUUGAUAGAGUGCGGAUUACCCCUCUUCUUGAAAGCAUUGAGGCAUUUUUAGAGGUUGUGGAUUAUCCUCCUCUAAAACUGAAAUCGUUUAGUGUUUUUUUUUCUUUUCUCCGAGUAGGUUUUAGUGACAAGUAGUGCUACAAUUUUCUCCAAGAGACUUAGAAAUUUCUUCUUCUCUCAAAAUUUUAAUCCAUCUAUUCUCUAAAUAUGGAAGUAGACCAGGUCAUAGACAGUGCAUCCCAACAAGUAGACAAUAGAGUGGCAAUUCUUGCAGAUCUUCAAGCUCUUAUGAAUAGUGUACGAAAGGAGAUUGCAUUUCUUCGCAAUCCAAGUAAAGAACCUCAAAUUGAUCCAGUGACCGAAGAAGCUAGACGCAAAAUUCAUAGCCUACAACAAGAGAUUAUUCGACUGAGAGAAGCAAGACAUGUGUCACAUACGACCCCUAUAGAUACUUCAAGGAUUAGUACGAAAGAACCGAAAGCGAGUAUGCCAGACAAGUUUGACGGAACAAGAGCCAACUUCCGAGGUUUUGUGCAACAAGUACGGCUUUACCUACGCCUAUAUCCUUCUCGUUAUCCGAAUGGAUUUACCCUGGUUGCUUUCAUAGGUACUCUUCUAUCAGGAAAUGCUCGCUCUUGGUUUGCUCCACUAUUGGAGAAGGAUUCUCCAAUAUUGUACGACCUAGAGGCUUUCAUAGAGAGACUUACUGCUGCGUUUGGAGAUAGCGAUCUAGAAAGAGUGGCUGAAAGAAAGAUACAAAAUCUGCGACAAGGAUCACGUUCUGCUGCAAUCUAUGCUGCAGAAUUUCAAUAGCUUACAUGUGAUCUUGAUUGGAAUGAUAAGGCGUUCAUGACACGAUUUCGAUAUGGAUUGAGAGAUGAUGUCAGGAACUUAUUGAUCACCAUGCCUAAGGCAGAUACUUUAGAAGAACUUAUAUCUCAGGCAAUUAUUUGUGACAACCGCCUCUUUGAAUUACGACAAGAAAGACGAUCAAGCUGGAGAAAUGAUGGAGUAUUUGCUACAUUUUCAAAAGGUCCAGAGAAACACUCCACAGAUCCUGAACCCAUGCAAAUUGAUGCGGUACGUUUCAAAUCCUUCACAGAUGAGGAAAGGAAGCGACGGUUUGAACAAAACUUGUGUUUAUAUUGCGGAGAAGCGGGCCAUAAAGCUGUAGAUUGUCGGAAGAAACAGAAGCCUCAAACAACAAGACUCAGGAGUACAAGCAUGCAGGAAAACAAGGACGCCCAGCCACAAUAGGGACCGUACGGCUGGACAUCUCAACAUCCAAAAUUAAUUAAGGUCCCUUUCUCUCAGCUCAACCUUCAGAUUGUUUUAUGGUACCUUUACAUGUGGGUAUUCAAGAACUACAAGUUGAUGCUUUAUUAGACUCGGGUGCAUCCGCUUGCUUUAUAGAUGAAGAGUUUGCCAAGCUUCUCAAUAUUUCUCUUGUAAAGAAACUUAAGCCUGUCCAUGUAGAAGUCAUAGACGGACGACCAUUGUCUUCGGGCAAUGUUAUCCAUGAAACUAAACCAUUGAAGGUACGUCUUGAAAACCAUGAGAGCAAUAUUGUGUUUAAUGUUAUCAAGACCCCUUCAUGUCCUAUCAUUUUGGGACUAUCUUGGCUUGAUAGAUAUAAUCCAUUGAUAGAUUGGAAGUUGCGGAAAGUGACAUUUCCAACAAACUCCUUGAAGGUGGAAUCUGCCAAGACAAUGUCUAGAAACAAAUCCUUGUUUAUAGGUGCAAGGACUUUCAUGAAGGAAGCCAAGCAAAAUACACCUCUUGUCAUCUUCGCAAUUCCGACUCGAGAAGAUGCAACUCCGACUUUGGUUAUUCCAAAGCAGUAUGAAGAAUUCAAAGAUGUCUUUGAAAAGAAGAAUGCUGAUAUGCUGCCAGAGCAUCGACCCUAUGACUGUGCCAUUGAAUUGCAAGAAGGAGCACAACCACCUUUUGGACCAAUCUACAAUUUGUCGCAGACGGAGUUGACUGAGUUACGGAAGUACAUUGACGAGAAUCUAGCCAAGAACUUCAUCCGUCAUUCGAAGUCGCCAGUUGGGGCACCAAUCUUAUUUGUGAAGAAGAAGGAUGAUUCACUACGGAUAUGCGUGGACUAUCGAGGUCUCAAUAAGGUGACAAAAAAGAAUCGCUACCCACUGCCUUUGAUCUCUGGUCUUCUAGAACAACUUGGGCGUGCAAGGAUCUUUACAAAGAUUGACCUAAGGGGAGCUUACAACCUUGUGCGAAUUAAGGAAGGAGAUGAAUGGAAGACAGCGUUCCGAACAAGGUAUGGCCAUUUUGAAUACAAUGUCAUGCCAUUUGGUCUUACUAAUGCUCCAGCGGUCUUUCAACACAUGAUGAAUGACAUCUUUCGAGAGCAUCUAGACGAUUUUGUUGUCAUCUAUCUAGAUGAUAUUUUGAUAUUUUCUAAGAACGAGGAAGAACAUGAGAAGCACGUUCGUCUGGUACUCAAAAAACUACGGGAGCGAGGACUCUAUGCCAAAUUGGAGAAGUGCUUAUUUCACCAAACUGAGAUGGAGUUUUUGGGAUUCAUCGCGACUACGGAAGGCUUGAAGAUGGAUCCAAAGAAGGUGGAAGCAAUCAUGUCUUGGGAAGUUUCGAAGACGGUUAGAGACGUACAAUGUUUUCUUGGAUUUGCUAACUACUAUCGGAUCUUCAUCAAGAAUUAUUCUCAAGUUGCUGCCCCCUUCACUCGGUUAACGUGUAAGGACAAGCUCGAAUGGGGACCUAUUGCACAAAAAGCAUUUCAAGAUUUGAAGUUGGUAUUUACUACAGCUCCAAUCUUGGUACAUCCGGACUUUACAAAGGCCUUUUAUUUGGAGACAGAUGCUUCGGAUUUUGCUUUGGGAGCUGUACUUUCACAGAUGGGCGUAGAUGAGAAGCUCCAUCCAGUUGCGUUCUAUUCUCGAAAAUUCUCUGCUGCUGAGAUCAACUAUGAGAUCCACGAUAAGGAACUCCUUGCUAUAGUAGAUUCUUUCCAAGAGUGGCGUCACUUUCUCGAAAGAACUGCACAUCCAGUGACCGUAUAUACGGAUCACAAGAAUUUGGAGUAUUUUAUGUCGGCUCGGGUUUUGAAUCGGCGUCAAGCUCGAUGGAGUAUGUCGCUAUCCAGGUUCGACUUUGUUAUUACUUAUCGGCCUGGGAAGCAACAAGGGUUGUCUGAUGCAUUAUCAAGGAGAUCAUAUCUCGCGCCAAAGGCUGGAGAUGCAGCAUUUGAUCAACAGUGCACGACAUUGUUGAAGCCAAAGAAAUUUCGGCUCAACGCAGCUAUUGUACCAAUUGAUGCUGACUUCCUCGACCAGGUACGGGCCGCAACCAUUGAAGAUUCUCUAGCCCUUGAUAUCAAGCAAUAUGCUAGUGAUGAUAAAUUCAAGAUCUAGUAUAUUUCGAAGAGCGGUUGUAUAUCCCAAAAGGGCCAACACGACUCCGAGUUCUUCAAUCUCGUCAUGACUUUCCAACUGCGGGACAUUUUGGAUUCAAUAAGACCUUGGAACUUAUUUCCCGCGAUUUCUGGUGGCCUCAAAUAUGGAAGGAUGUGAAAGAUUUUGUUGUAUCUUGUGACAUUUGUUCAAGAUCCAAAAAUCCUCGACAUCGGCCUUAUGGACUUCUACAGCCAUUGCCUAUUCCGCGUCGACCAUGGUCUUCGGUUUCCAUGGACUUUAUUAUGGAUCUACCACCAUCGAAUUCAUUUGACACCAUUUUUGUUGUCGUAGACCGGCUUACAAAGAUGGCGCAUUUUGUCCCUUGCAAGAAGACAUCGUCAAGCGAAGACACAUUAAGACUCUUUCUUGAUAAUGUGUAUUGAUAUCAUGGUCUACCAGAUGAUAUCGUAUUGGAUCGAGGAACUCAGUUUGUAUCAAAGUUUUGGAAAUUUCUUUUUGAAAUAUUGAAGGUGGAUAUCAAGCUUUCUUCGGCAUUUCAUCCUCAAACGGACGGCCAAACAGAACGGGUGAAUCAAGUUUUAGAGCAAUAUUUACGUUGCAUCAUCAACUAUCAACAAGAUGAUUGGACCGCAUAUCUACCGCUAGCCGAGUUCGCAUAUAACAACACCCUUCAUGCGUCAACUCAACAAACGCCAUUCUUUUCCAAUUAUGGAUACCAUCCGAAGCUUGACUUAUGGAGUUCGUCAACGAUUAACAAUCCGGCAGCUGAAGGAUUGGUGAAGGAGCUUUCGCAGCUUCAAACUACAUUGAAGCUUCAAUUGCAAACUGCCCAAGAAUCUUACAAGGCGUCCGCGGAUAAAUUUCGGAAUCAGACACCUAAAUUCACGAUUGGAGACAAAGUUUGGCUGCUUCGACGAAAUAUUAAGAUCAAGCGGCGAUGUGACAAAUUGGACUAUCGGAGAUUGGGACCAUUUGUUAUCCAGAAGCAGAUCAAUCCUGUAGCGUAUCGUCUGGAGUUACCAGCUACUAUGAAGGUACAUCCUAUCUUUCAUGUUUCUUUGUUGGAGCCUUAUCGAGAAUCGUCUUUUCCUGGAAGAGUACAAUGUCCACCACCUAGCAUAGAAAUAGAGAACCACAAAGAAUACGAGGUGGAAAAGGUCCUGGAUUCACGGCAAAGAAGGGGUAAAUUAGAAUACUUUGUGCAUUGGAGCGGUUACGAUAUUAAUGAACGAACAUGGGAGCCGGUCAAAAAUCUUGCGAAUGCGCCGCAAAAGGUACAGGAGUUUCAUCGACGAUAUCCUGAGAAAUCCAAGCCGGUUCGACGAUAGCUUCUUACUGAAGCUUGCUCAUCCAGAAAACAGAAAAGAGGAGAGAGCACCACCAAAAUCCAUAGUUGAUGUAGUCAUUCUCUCCAAGAUAGCGUAGAACUUUGUUAGUAGCCCAAAUUUGUUCUUAUUGUUUUAGCCUUUGAAUAUGGAUAGCCAAGAUACUACACUUGUCAUGUCAUCUCAAGCAACUAGCUCACGAAGACGACCGCGAGAUGAAGAACCGCUUGCACCACGACGACGUCGAAGGAUUCUGAGAAACAGAUCGCUGGUGAUUGUAUUUGAGGUCGAGCCUGCCUACAAUGGUCAGCUAGAAGGAGUGUUUGUAGGACAAUUUCACAAUGAAGACACGGAGGUUCAUGCUUGGUCAGAGGUUGAAGGCGUGGGCCACUACCGUUGGCUUCAAGGACCAUUGAAUCACUUGCCUCGUGAACAACAAUUGGAGUUUAUAGCAGAGGUUAUGCGACAGAUCUUCAUUUUCUUGCGUUGGUAUUGACUGACGAUAACAUUGCUUCUCGGAGACCUCGAAGCUAAAGGAGGAGGUGAUGUUAGGGACAUAGUCCUUAGAUCUUUCUAGAGACAAGUUUCUACAACCUUCUAGAAAGAAGUCUCUAGAAACUUCCAGAAGAUUCCUUGAAUAUUCUCUUAGAAUAUUCUUUAAAGAUUCCCUAAAGAUUCUUUGAAGAUUCCCUUAGAAGCCUCUAAAAGAUUCUUAGAAUAUUCUAGUAGAUUCUAGGAAGUUACUUGAGAAGCUUCUUAGCUCUUGGGUAGUUGCUCGAGAAGCUUUAUAGUUCUUGGGAAGCUUCUUGAUGCGCUUCCUUAGAACCAUAGGCCAGUAGUAUAUAUAGGAGUCGAGGCUGAAGAGUUCUUCAGUCUCGACAACACACCUCUUGAAGCUCUAGCUCAAUUCUCUUGGCAUUGCUCUUGUACUCAUCUGAUAAUCUAGUUCUUGUCAUUUCUUCUUGAACUUCUUGUUUAGAUUUCUUGUUUGUAUUUUUGGUCCGUGACAGUACUCCAAAUACAAACUUCAUAUCCGAUAAUGUAAGAUGAAAUUCUCCAAGCCGAGUUAAAAACUUUUCAUAAUCUUGUAUAUGAUCAACAACAUAUUUGCGACACCCCCUCGUAUCUAAAGUUUCAUCCUUGUCUCCUUCUCUGCACCCUUUUAUAGGAACAUCAUCCAGAAAAGGCAUAGUCUUUUCCGGAAUAAAAUCUCUGAAUACCUUAUUCAUCCCAUUCAUCAUAUGCGCAACUGAGUUAGUCACGCCUUGAGGAAGAAUUCACAUUCUAACCAAUCCAAGUGGUGUCCUCAUUGUUGUCAUAUCUCUACUUCCUUCGGCAAGUUGAAAUUGAUCAUAACGUGAAUACAAGUCACCCAUUGAAUAGAUCGCCCUUCCAGCAAACACCUCAGUAAAUUCAUCCACAAUAGGUCCAAUUCCUGCAUUUCUGGCAGUUACUGCAUUCACCGGUUGCAUAUCUUGAAUAAACCGUAGUGACCCAUUCUUCUUAGGUACCGUAAACCAUCGAUUAGAAUACGGCGCAAAUGAAGGUUCCAAUAUUUUCAUCUUUAUCUUUUCUUUUAAUAGUUCCACCAAUUUAGGUAAAUGUGCCCUCGGUACUGGAAUCGGUCUUAGAUUCCAAGGUACAUGCGGUACAGUGAAGAUAACCAUAGGUGUUACAAUAUUUGGAUCCACACACUCAAUUUCAUGAGAUUUGAAGGCAAACAAUCUACCUUGCUUAGCCAACAUCUUUUUGAAGCAAGUAAUUUCCUUCGGUAAUAAAGAACCAACAGAACCAAUCUUCAAUUCUUCAAAAGUCUCUCUAGUAAACUCGUGUCCAAUACUCAUUGGAUCUCUUAAACUUGCUUCUUUUGAUGCUUCUCCUAUUUGUUCUUUAGAAUCUUCUGAUAAUGGUCCGACAACAGGCUUUACCUUCUUAUGUGCCGUUUUAUAUCUCGUCUCUACAGUGACUUCUGGUGCUUGAAAAGAUUCAAGUAUGGUAUAAACAUCUCUUGAAUGAAUCUCAACAAUCUUAUCAUUAUCCCCUAACCCAAUAGAUGUAAUCAAUUCCAAUGAAUCUUCCAGUCCAUUUUCUUCAUAAACACCUAAAAUCCUCUCAUCAUCUUGCAAUGUACCUAACUUGCAUAAUUGUCCUUCAAUAUCAUAUAAUCUUUUUCUUUCUUUUCUUUUAAAAUCAUCAACUUUCUUAUAUAUAAUAUUUCCAUUCUCCAACAUACCAAUAAAACUCGCAUCAAAGGUACCUUCAUCUCGCGAGAGUACCUCAUCUUUUGUACCUCCAUAAUCUCGCUUUACAGUGGUACCUCUCCAAAAUCCUUAAAUCCUUCAAUAAUCUUUGGCAAUGGUUUCUCCCUCAACCUAUCUCGAUUCCGUUCAUAGUUAGGAGGUACUGUUAGAAAUUGUACAGCUUUCCUCCCAUCUUCGCUCCGUACCCUUGCAUAAGUGGAACCAUCGUCAAAUACUUUUGUUUCCAUCCGUGUUGCCGUGAUAUAAGGUUGUCCUAAAAUCAAUGGAUAAGACGUUGUCUUGAACAAAGAAAUGUUGCUCCGUCGCAACAUCCCCAAUCCAAAUUUUGACAUCUGGACAAGCUCCAUAUAAUUCGCCCCGUGUGUUAUUAGCUGCUCGAAUUGCCCAUCCAUGUUCCAUAUCAAUUGGCCAUUUUUGCUUUUUAUAAAGAUCUUUAGACAUGAGAUUUAUUUCAGAACCAUGGUCGACUAAAGCAACUAUUGGUUCUUCUAUAUCUCCUACUUUCACCAAUACCUCAGUAGUUGCGCUUGCCCAAUGUUUCCGAGUAUAAUGGCUCAAAGUUCCCAUUUCCUUGUUACUAGAAUCUUCGAAACGUACUCGUUGAUUAUACCCAUUCUUUUCAUUUGUUGAUUGCUUGUAUCCAAUAUCAACCUCUUUUUCAUCUUUAUAUAUUCUUGCAUCAAUAGCAUGACUCAUUCCAGUUUCGCCCAUUAAUUACCUCUUUCGCUUAAUGCUGUCAAUGAUGACAUCAUGAAACUCCUUCUUUGCAAUUCCCAAGACUUCUUUCAAUGUGAAUUCCACCUUAGCGUUUAAUAUACGUUCUUCCAACACCCCUUUCAAAUUUGUUGCCGCUUCAAUGUCAGAAAGUAGCUUAUAAGCAAUUGAUUUGUCUUUAUCUUUUGUCUCUUUUGUUUUUUCUCCCAAUGAUGCUGAGGUAUCCUUUGCAGGCAAUUCUUGUGAAGCUGCCUCCCGAGCCUUGUCUCCUCGAGUUUGCCUCUUAGAAGAAUUUCCUUCUCUAGUAUCAUCAAAAUUUCCUCGUCUCUUUUCUUCCAUCAAAGCUUCAUGUUGGCUCUUAGCAAUAUAUGCAUGAACUGAAAGAGUCUCAACAAGAUCCUCCCAACUUGUUCUACCUCGUAUUGUAGCUGAAGUCCUCAAUAAUGCUUCUCGAGGUAAUUUCCCUUCUUGCAUUGUAGAAACGGCAGGAGUCCAAAACUCACUAGUUUUCGUACUUCCACCAAUUUCAUCAUCUACUCUAGCACCAUAACUUGCACUUUCUCGUGCUGCUGUUUCAUGCUCUUUUAGGUAAUCUUGAACCAAUGCUCUCAUUCUUCCCUUGCCAAAAUUGGUUUGAAGAAGAUCCUCUCUAUUUUUUAAUGCUAUCUUUCCAUCUUUUCAGCAAAUAAUUCCCUGUCGUAUCAUAUUAUUAAAUUCAUUGCAAUCUUUUCUAGUGUGUGAAGCAUCAUCACACCAAAUGCAUCUUUGUACAUAUCCUUGUUUUGAAACAUUCUCCGAAUUGUUUAUAGAAGUAUUUUCUUCAAGUCUUGCCAAUUUGAUUUGAAGAUCUCGCAUUCCUCGUAUAAUUUCUUCCAUCUCCAUAUUUGCUUUCUUUGAUACGGAUGUCGAAGGUUGAACUGUAAGCAUCGUUGGUGGUGUUGUACGUACUGGAGCUUCGAGUGCUUGUACUGUUUUCUGAAUAUUACUCCUAUCUUUCCUCCUUUCUCUUUUUGUAAGCAACCCCACCGCAUCUUCAACGUUCUUCCACUUUGUUGUCAAUCCUUCAUCUUCCUUUGUCUUUAAGAAGAAGUUUUAAUUUCCCUUGCAAUUCUCCAUCAGCAGCUUGAAGAAAUAGAUUAACUUUGUUCGGCUCCAAUGUCUAUUUUUCUACCUUCGACAAUUGAGAGUAUUGCCUCUCAAAUUCCCUUAGUAGCUCUGUUGCUUGCAAAUUCUUAUUAGGCCGUUCAAUCCAUUCCAGAAACAGCUUCUUAAUAACGCGAUCAGCAUCUUCCAAGAAAUAUUCGUCUUUCAAUGCAUGUGAAAAAAUCUCCCAUGAAUUCCCAUAACGAUCCGUAAUCGAUGUAAUGUGGUCUGUUAUCUCCGUUAUCGUGGCAAGUCCAAAUAGUGCAACCAUUUUCUUCUCAGAAACCCGAUUUAAUUCCAUUUCACGAACAUAACAUCUUAAAUACCUUGAAAUAUUCCUCCCAUCAAAUUGAUCAAUUUUAUUGACCACUGCUUGCAAUGCUUUGGUUGCCAAAGCUUCCUUUCGAUCAUUGCUUUGCUGUUGCUGCAUUGACAAUGAGAAGGCUUGAAAUUUACUAGCAAUAGAUGGAUCCAUGUGCAUAUCUUGUCCUUUAGAAGAAUCCCCACCAGAAACUCCUCCCAAAAAUCCUUCAAAAUUUUUAUUUUUGUUUUCCAUAAAAUAUAGAUAAAAUCAACCGAAAUCUAAUACCUUCUACCUCAAGCUUUCACGUCUGGUUCAUCAAUUUUGUCGUAUUACGUGCUUUCUUGCUCAAGAACGCGUCGGGCGUCUGGCUGUAGAAGGUAGUAUGGAGAUUCGCCAAUAGUCAAGCAGUCUAUCAGUUUUUGACUACUGGAAUAUAAACGACUGCAAGAAUACAAUGUAAAUCUAUACAGAUGCCCUUCGACUGCUUGUCGAAGUCCUUUUUGCCCCAGCCGGUAGGUCUCUAGACGUUACAAAGAAUCCCGAACAACCCAAUCAGCUAAUCUCCGAUACCGCUUUGUACUUACGAUCUUGUAUCCACUGAUUGUCUUAUUAGAUUAACCCAAUAAAUUUCAUUCACUCCGCAUACUCAAUCCUAUAGACACCCUUUUAAGCCUUCAAUCACAGACGUAACUCGAUUUCACAAAAUAAUCAAGAGUAAUCAAAUCCACUUCAUUAAAAAAUCCCGAUUCACCAUUACAACACUGACUUCAGCAAUGAUUGCCUCAGUCUUCCCAAAACUCUAUGAAGAAGAAAAAUCCAAUUCUCCAUCUUUUCUUUCCCGACCCGAAGCAUAAAGCUCUUCUCCAAUCCCCUUGAUCUUCAAAAACCUCCAAUGAAAAUGAACUAGUAACCUUAAAAAGAGCUUGAAGCUAGCUCUCCGAUCCAAAAAAAAACCCCCCUCAAACUUAUUCUCCUCCUAACCUUAUCCUCUGAAUUUCUUCAAUCUUCCGUCUUGGAUUCGGAAUUGGCUCCCAUCGUCAAAGCUUUAAUCCAAAAUUGGCUCCCGCCGUCAGAGCUUUCUCCUCCGUUUUUACCUUUAAGAGAUCCAUUUACUGAAAACAACCUUCCUUGAAACAGCACAGAGAAUAGGACAGCCUGAAACAGAAUCGAAACCCCGUACUCGGGUCUACAUUGAGUCGCCCGAUCAAUUCAGGUCUCAUAUUGGAUAAGAGUCCAGUACUAAGACCUGGAUUUUCCCGUAAUUAGACUGCAUUGGGUUGCCCGACCAAUGUAGGUCUCAUAUUGGAUACGAUGUCCGUAGUAACCUGGAUGUUCCCAUAAUUAGACUGCAUUGGGUUGCCCGACCAAUGCAGGUCUCAUAUUGGGUAAGAGGACCCGGAUUGGAUUCUCGAAAUUGGAUCCAAUUGGCUCUUCAAACCAGGCUCACCCGUCGCGUGAAUUGGUCCUUUCCCUUCCUGCUGAUUCACGUUAUUUGAAUCGAACGGAGCAUUUCAGUAUGCCUCGGCUGACUAUAACGGGGUGACUGAACCUAACCACUCAGUAUUUGCACUGGAGUUGGUCGUUGCUCCCAAUAUUCGAGGUAACUGAAUAUUAAUAAAAGUCCCCUUUCUUUAUAUUUUCACGGUAUACUCGUGUUACAACAUGACAUCAGUAUAAUCUUAACUGCCUCACCACAAAACGGUGUCGGGAUAGAGAGAGUUUGCCUUAAGAAAACGCUGGGCUUCUGGUUGUCACUAAUUAUUCAAUCAAGCUUAAAAAUAAGGGAAGCACUUAGUUUAUAUAUAAUUUUUUCCUUUUGAGUAAUUACACCAAAUGCACAAUCCUCAAGUAACCCACAACUUCCAAAAUAUGAUAAAAUCUUCUAAAACCUAUUUAUUCUUAUGUGGAGAUUUUUCCGAACUUCAACACCUCAUAUCUCCUUAUCCGACCGUCCAAACAAACUCAAAUUUUAUUCGAGGUACUGAUGUAUUCUUAUUAACUUGUACAAAAAAUUUCAACCGCAAAUUCGUUGCAAAUCUUGAGAUAUCUUGAAAACCCUAACAAUCACUCCAAACCUUUGUUUUUAGACACAUGCGUGCAAUUUUCUUCAUAUCUCAUAAAGUAUAAGCUCAAAUGCCACGAAAUUUGUAUGUAUAGUUUUUUUACAAAAAAAUUUACAUUCUCCAAAAGUUUGAGGUAAAAAUUCAUCCGAAUACUUAAGUUAUGACUCCAACCAUUACUACAAACAAAACCGCUUACUUACUGCCUUUGAUUUGGAAGUGCUGCCUUCAACUCCUUACAACUCCUUCAUAUGGACUCCAAAAGUAUUAAUUAUUUUGUGAAAGAUGUAGGCCUUGAAAUCGCUGUUUUAGUUGCACCUUCCGAUCUUCAAAAGUUGCUGUAAAACUCCUCGUACUCUCAAAAGAGUAACAGUAUAUCUUAAAUAAACACCUUAACUUCAAACGGCUAUAUCUUUUUUACCCUAAUUCCAAAUCCUCUAAUUUUUGUACACAAAUUGUACUCCAAACCCUAAACUUUAUGACCCUAGCUUUUAAUCUCCAAAUGCUCUCUUUGAAGUUUCUGAAACCCUUCUUAAGGUCCUAGGCAACCUCCUCAAAGGGUAUUCGACCAAUAGGGAUGAAGUUCUCCAUUCCUUGCCUUCAUCCGAACAUGCCUUGCUUUCAUCCCUUUCAAUUAGCUUCUUACUAGUUUAGAUUUUCAUCCUUAGGUUUCCACCUUCUCCCAAGGCUUCAUAAUAAAGAUUUAGGUCUUAUAUAUAUAUAUAUAUAUUAAUAUCAAAAUCAAAAGAAGUAAAGAAACAAAGUAAAGUUUCUUAUACCAACUCCUUUUAAUUUAAUCUACUAGCCACUCUAACACACAUCUAGAUUUAACAACAUAUAAUAUGUUUUAAGUAAUUUUUACAUAUUGUAAGUAUUUACAGUACGACACCGUUUGUCACAUCCGUCCCUGUUGACACAUUAAUAACUACUAACUAUCCUUUCAGUCACCUUUACACCCUAACGCACUUAUACCAUAAUUAGGUCUACCCUGUGUCCCUUCGAAGUCACUCCCCUAAAAAAAAAUGAAAACCCGUCUCGAAUUUUAUGUAUUAUAUAACCGUAAUCGGUUCCCGUUAAUGUGGGUACUAAAUCGAUGGGCCAUGAAAUCCUCCAAUUGAACAAAUCCAUCGGAAAAACCCUCAACCAUGCAGUACAGCCUAUACCAACAAACUUGAAAUUUGCUCGAAAAAUGAUUAAAUCGGCUAUCAUACAGUAAUAUCAAAUCAUUGGACAUAAAAGUUUUUGGAUGCAGUUUACUAUCAUAGUAACUCUUCCUCCGUUUUUGAAUCGCUUCCAUGUUGAAAAGAGCUGUAGCUCAUAUUUCAUCCAAUUUUACUAACCGAGAAUGUAAUCACUCUCUGUCAUUGAGUUGUUCAUCUAAGGCAAUCCAUAAACUUUGAACCUCCAAUUCGAUGGAUAAAAUUGCCUCUUGAUCAUAAAUUAGUUGAAACGGAGUAGAGUUGGUAGUUACUUUAUAUGCGGUACAAUAUGCCCACAAAGCUGUAAAGAGUUUGAUCUCCCAAUCGAUACCCACCCCCAAAAUUGUCUUAGUCAAGACCUUGCUUAAAAUUCCAUUGAUCUUUUUCAUUUGUCCAUUAACGCGAGGAUGAUAUGUAGUGGUUUUUCGUUGCUUAAUCUCAUAUGUGUUCCUCAAGGCUGCUAUGGUAGCAUUGAAGAAAUGGGUGCUGCAAUUGCUAACCAAUUUCUUCGGACAUCCAAAUCGAGUUAUAAUAUUCUCGUAUAGAAAAGUAGCCAUCGUAUUGGCAUUAUCAUUGCGUGUAGCAAUAGCCUCUGCCUAUUUUGUUACAUAGUCCAUGGCGACUAAAAUAUAUCGCUUCUGGCUAGGUUUUGACAUUGGUGUGAUAGGACCAACAAAAUCAAUAUCCCAUUUUUUGAACAGUGCUUGUGCCAAGAUUGGAACUAACGGCAUGGUGGAAGUGCCCGUGGGUCGACCAAUUCAUGGACAGGGAUCGCAACGACAAGCAAAUUGGUGCACAUUAGAAAACAUUGUAGGCCAUUAAUAUCUGGCCAUUAAAGCCUUGCAAGGAGUACUAUCCUCCACGAAAUGACCACCACAACUAUCCAAAUGGCAACCUUCUAGGAUCGACUGUACUUCACUUGGAAAGAUACAAUGUCAUAAAAUGCCAUCUUUGCCUUGUUUAUACAAAGCUUCAUGAAUCAUCGUGUAUGGAACACUCUUUAGAAUGAGUCACUUCUUAAGCUUCUCGAUGAAAGUUGGCAGAAAGGUGUGGAAGGUCAAAAACUGAAUGAUUUCAUUAUACUCAGAGGAAAUUACAUCCACCACAAAUAAUUUGGUAUCGGAAAGAAUAUUCGGGACAUACUCGUUGCCAAAAAUAUUAGACAACCAGGAUAAAUGAUCAGCAUUGGCAUGUUUCUUCCCAGGUCGUACGACAAUCAUAAAAUUGAACUCUUAUAAGAGUAAGACCCAUUGAGCAAUGCGCCCAUUCAAAUGAGGCUUACUAAUUAUGUAUUUGAGGGCAUGAUGAUCCACAUAAAAUACAAACAGAUACCGAAGCAAAUAGUACCAAAAUUUUUGAACCGAAUAUAUCAUAUCUAACGCUUCUCAUUGAGUAGUAGUAUAAUUAUGUUCAGCAGCUAUCAAUUGCUGACUAAGAUAAUAGAUAGGAUGAUCGAGAUCUUUGACAUCCUUCUAACUUAACACCGAUCUAAUAGCCACAUUGGAUGCAUCAAUGUACAUAUGAAAGGGCUCCGUCCAACGAGGGGCCACCAAUAUUGGUGUAGAGACCAAUUUUGACUUCAACGCUUCAAAGGCCACGGUACACUCCAUGGUCCAGAUGGGACUAGUCCUAUUUGAUGGAAGUUUCUUCAGUAAGUUCAUUAAAGGUUGAGAAAUAACUAUGAAGAAACGAAUGAAUCUUCGAUAAUAAUUGACAUGGCCCACAAAUCCAUGAACACAGGAGACCAUCUCUAGUUUGGGCAAGUUCAUGAUAUGCUUCACUUUGUCAGGAUUCGUAGCAAUACCACGGCUGGAGAUGAUAUGUUACAAUAAUUUUUCUGACGGAAUACCAAAUUGACACUUAUCCGAGUUCAACAAUAUCCCAAACUUAGCGCACUGAGCUAAACAUUUGCCUAGACAAUUAAGAUGAUCUUGUUUGAUACUGAAUGCACAAAAGUCAUGUAAAAAGAUCUCCAUAAACAGUAGAAGAUAGUCUUGGAAGGCCUGAGUCAUGACUCUCUGAAAUGUAGCUGGGGCGUUGCAUAAUCCAAAAGGCAUCACGGGAUAAGCACAUGUACUCCAAUCCAUAGUAAAGGUCAUCUUAAGCUGGUCUUUCAUUAUAAUUUGAACUUGAUUAUAUCUGGAAAAUCCAUCGAGGAACAAAUAACAUUUGUGAUCGGUUACGGGGUCUAAUAUACUAUUUGUGAAAGGCAACGAAAAAUAAUCCUUCUCGGUGGCCGCAUUAAGUUUUCAAAAAUCUUGACAAAUGUAGAUUUUUCCAUUCUUUUUUGGCACCAUGAUGAUUGAAAAAAUCCACUUGCUAUUCGGUACCGGAUAAAUAAAACCAACCAUAAGAAGCUUGUCGAAUUCCUCCUUCACCAUGAGAGAACAUUUAGGAUUAAGACAAUGUUACCUUUGUCGUACAAGUUUAGCAUUCUCCUCUAAAAUGAUACGAUGCUCAGAGACGUCAGCAAGACUAUCCUUUAAAUCAGCAUAAGUCUAAGCAAAAGCGGACUUAUGAUGCAAGAAAAAUUUUGUCCAACAAGUCAACUCCUGCUCCUUAAUACCUUCGUAGACCUUAAUUAUUCGAGAUUCUGCUGUGCUCACCAAGUUGAUAGUUUGACAUAAAGAUGUAGCAGCAAUGUUCUGUUUCAACUUCCGCUCUGGUUGAAAAUCAGUCGAUAAGUCCAACAUGUGUGAAGUACUGAAUCCUGUGUCCAGAGUACUCACAUGGUGCACAUCAUACUUGGUCAUCCAAUCAAUACUAACAUACUCAGAUUUUUUUAAAUCCAUCGAAUAUAUCAAGUACUGCCCCGGACCUCCACAUUGGUACACCACUCUAGGAUGUUGCGCUGCCUCUAUAGGCGCCUUCGUAAUUGAUGUGACUAUGUCAUCAUCGGAGCUAAGCUCAUUGUCCGACGUCAAUUCAAAUGCUGGCAAUUGAGACUCCCCGUGAUAGCGUAUUGGAUAUAUUUGUAAUACUAUUUUACCGUCGCCCUUACCAAUUAUCAAAGUACCCUGACCCUAAUCGUUCUUGGCCUUUGUUUGAUAAAGAAAGGAUUGUCCCAAUAAAAUUGGAUACGAUAAAGUCUAACGUUAUAGCCGAAAGAUAAUAUAGUCAAUUGUAUAUGCAAUACCAACAAUUAUAAUUUGAAUACUCUGUAAAAUAUCCAUUGAUUUAACCCGGCUAUGAUCUGCUAUCCAUAAUACCAAUGUUGUCGGUACUAAGUGAUUCAAAUCUAAAACAUCCAUUGUAUUAACAUUCAUUAAAUUGACGUUGGAACCACCAUCCACCUGAACGCCCGAGAAUAUAACACCAUCAAUUGAAACAUCGAUGGAUGGUGCACCUAGAUUAGGAUUCAAACUAACUUCACAUACUUCCUUAUUACAUUGUCAAUGCUGUGUUAACGAUGAAUUCAAUGUAGAACAGCACUCUGGUGCAACUGCUAGAAGUUGCUUCAUAGAAAUAAAAGGCUGAAUAGCAUCUAGAUCCUUCAAAAUGUCAUAGGGUUUCAUAUUUAGGGUAAUGCCUAAUGCCCUCUUUCUUUUCAUUGGUUGGAGUUUAACUCCAUGGGAUAGGAUAUUCUUCUAUCCUAGACUCAGAAUUGGAACAGCAGAUGGAGUUUCUUUGAAAUUCACACCUCCUAGAGGAUCUUUCAUCGAAAAAGAUAUUUCCCAAAACUGUGUAAAGAAUGGAACAGAUUGAAACGGAACCGAAGACUCCAUAAUCGGUACCUCAUUAGAUUGCCCAACCGAGUCAGGUCUCAUUCUGGAUAAGAGGCCCAUAAUAGGACCUGGAUUAGAUGUCCCCGUAAUUGAGUCCAAUUGGCCCUUUCCAUCAGGUUCACCCAAAUGUUGAAUUGGUCCUUUCGUCUUUUUGUUAACUCAUGGUAAGAACAACUUGGACACAUUCUAUCCAAUUUACUGGAGAAUCUUUAAGACCUUGAUUUAUCUCUUCUAUUUUUCCUUGGCUUUGGAUCUGGUGAUCUCGAUUAUUGAAAUUGAAUAGAGCAUUACAUUGCUGAUAAGUAUGCCCUCACUGCUUAUAAUUCCCACAAAUUGGUGCAUAAUCGUCACUAGCUCUAGGAUUGGAACAUUCAAUGGCAUAAUGAUCAAUCUGUUUGUAACAAAAAUAACGAAGUGGUCUUCUUAUAUCCCCAUCAAGCAUAUUGGGUGUCUCCACUGAUAUAUACCUAUUAGGCUUGUUCCAUGUAGGGUUAAAAAAUGAUCUUGGUUGUCUCUUUGGAACGGAGGGUAUUUGGUUCGAUGACACUGGAGGAGCAUAUUGCAGAUACCUCUACUGCUCCUUCUCGUAGUGCUGGGAGUUUGAUGCAGAUCUCUGAUUAAAAUUGGAACUUUGAAAGUUAUUAAAUGUUCGAUUUUAUUGAUUAGAUCAAUUUCCAUUCCAUCCAAAUGUAUUUCUCGAUUGAACUUGAUUGACGUCUUAGUAAAUUGGUGGGAUCAUAGUCUGAUUACCAAAUUGUUGUUGCUUUUGCAAAUUCUAAUAAUUUGCUGUUAAGUACUUUCCUUCGCAAAAUGUACAUUGAUCCAUCAUUUGUGAGGGUAAAGGGUAUUCUGUUACCAAAUGACCAUAGCCCUUACAAUUAUUGCACCAAACAUUGGUCCUAGUAUUGGUAGGCUUUUGCCUCUUCUCUUUAUCCUAAGCCAUAUUGACAGCCAUUUCUUCCAUUUUCUUUGUCAGGUUCAACAACAAGGCUUCAUUGGAAUAUUUUAGGGAUGGUAUUAUUGGUAACUCUGUCUCAGUUAAUGCUUGUUAUUGAUACAGAAAAUAGGGAGCAUACAUUGUUGUCACAUUCGGUGGUAUAGCUUGUAAUGGGGUGACAUUAAUUGGCUCCUGAAUAUUGACAAAAGAAUUUGUCCUUGUAUCUAACAUCCAUGGAUAAUUACUUAUUGAUCUAUUCCAAGUCGGAUUUUGAUAACUGCCUUGAACUGGAAUCAUCAUAGCUCCCGCAGUUAAAAACUGAUCAUAAUGAAAUUCCUCUCAAACCUUGGCUCUAUUAAGGGAUGCAAUUACUAUAACGGGUUGCGCUUCCUUCACAAACAUUUUUAGGUCCGAUAGGUGCAAUCCGUUGAUUACUAUGGACAACACAAAAGUCUAUGGCAUUUGGUGAUUUGGCCAUUUGCGGAAUAUAUUUGCCACACAGCCAUAAUACGAUUCCACUACCUCUCUUGGACCCAUUUUGCUAGUCAUUAAUCUUUCUUGAAGUCGAUUCUCAAAACCAAUUGGGUGAAAAUAGAUUAAAAAUAUAUUCUUCAAUGCUUUCCAAUUCAGAAAUUGAUCCACUGGUUGGUAAUUGCAUCAUUCAAAUGCCAUGUCCUUUAAAGUUGCUGGCAACCAUCAUAACCAAAUAUCUUUGGUUCUUCCAUUAUUGGCUACUUAUGCUUUCAAAAACUGAGACAAAUAUUGAUUGGGGUCUGCACCCAAAAAACCCCUAAAAGUAGGUAAUGGAGCCAAGCUUGUUGUGCAAUCGCUCAUAUCAUCCAUUUGUACUGCUAUUGGAACCGCUGGAUCACCCGUCGCCAUUGAAGAGGACAAUGUGCUGCUUAAUCUCUUAUUAGAAUUACCAUUGCCUUUUCUAAUUGUCUUUUUUGGACUUUUCAACCUCCUCAAUUUGCUAUUAUUAUCCUUGAAUAAGUUUAUGAGUUGAAUUGGAGGUAAAAAUGAUGGAUUUUGAAAUAGGCUGAAUUGGCCCUUAUUGACAAGUAAUUUAUGCCAUUCUACGGAACUAGUUUUCAUAAAAUCAGUAGUUUUUGCUAUUGGAAAGGUAUCCAAUAGAGUACCCAAUUCUUUUUUGUUUCCUCCACUUGCAGUUAACGAGCUCAAGAGAUACGCUGGGCGGUUGACAAAAUUUCCUACAAGUACUCUUGGUAAUUUUCUUAAUGGUAUAUAUGUCUGAAAUAUUAGAGAUCGGUCAGCUUCCGGAUAUGCUCAGAUAUGUCAACAAGCAUGCAAUCAUGGCUUAAUUUAACUUUGUCGAUGCUUCCUUUUUAACUUGCAUUCUUGCUCAUUUCACAAUGAUUCUCUUACUUGCGCUCUCUCUUGUCUUUCUUUUGACUCACCUAUUUUCUUUAGUGCAAUAUUUUCAUUCUUAAUAACCAUAAUCUUUCAUUAUAUAAUGUUGAAUUUGCUUCCUAUUUUCCAUCUACUCAUCUAGCAGUUAAUUCCUAAUACUCAAUGUUAUUGUCAAUCCCCGACAGCGACGCCAAAAUGUGAUUGUCAUUUUACUUAUUCUAUAAUUCUUUUCAAAAUAAACUUGUAUAGGAAAAUUCGAUCACAGGGAAAGACUAAGCGCAUGAGCUUUUCUUGUUAGGGUCACUCAAUUAACUAUAAUCCAAACCACUAAAAUACCAAAAAAUACUAAAAUGCUUUCUCCCAAUAAUAAUACUCCUUCAUCAAUUGAAACAACAAUGUGCAACAUUGCACUCUUAAAAGACGGUUCAAAACUCAUAAAUUCCAUCCAAUAUCAAGAAUAAUAGACUUCACUCCAAUCAAUCUGAAUUCACAAAAUUUUUGUAAUCAUAGACUUCUUCUGUCCAAAACACACACAACUCUCAAUAAACAACAAUCAUUAUCUUCCAUCCAUAAUCAAUCUUCCAAUAACUUCUCAUAUAAUUCAAUCACUCAGUAUAUCAAUUACAUAACCAAUAAUUCAUAAAUCAAUCUCUGAUUUAUUCCACAGACUCACUUUUCAGUAUUCAGAAACUAUCCAUUACUCUUCAACAACAAAAAAAACAAAGAAAAUAAAGAGGUAUCACCAAGCUUAACCUCGACUCAUGACUAUUACAGUCUGACACUCCAACAAACUUCUACAACUCCUAUAUAAUUGCUACUGAUUUCCAGAUUCUAACCGUAAUCCUAUAAUAACUACUUUUAAUAAUUGAAUCAAUCAUCCAUCCUCCUAAACUGACUAUUCUAUGGACUAUUAAUCUAUUUUACCAAUAUCUUAUAAAAAUGAACUAAUAUCUAUUCUACAUGUACUUUUAAAGGAUACCCUCCGCAUGAGUUUCAAUAGAUAAAUGAGAGGAACUUACGACAUGUGCAAGGGUUAGUCACAGCUUUUAAUAAGGAAGUUGGUGACUAUAGGAGAUCCAGGACCACAAGGAAGCAAAUCAAAACCCACUAAAAGAUAGAUUGGAUAGUUGAUUGGUUUGAUAAUUUGGAAGAGAUCAAUGAAAAGGAUGAUUAAGAAGAUGAAGACAUCUUCACUUCAAAGUGGAGGAGGGCCACAAGCCUAUAUGACUUGUAAGAAAAGAAAAUCCAUAAGCUAUAGCAUAAGGGGAAAUAUAAAAAAAAACUUGAAAAAAAAGGUGAUGAAAGUUUUCAAGAGAAGAAGAUUUUGAAAGGAUUUCAACUCGAGGGGACUUUAUAGAGAAAAACCUUAAGAAGCUUGUAUGAAGUGGAUAGAAGACUCUGAGCAACUAGGCCUAAACGGUUGGCCUUUCCUAAGUAGGUUUUAUAUUGAGUGCUAGCAAAUCACUUCCAUAUGAUAGAGAAGGGUAUUAGGGUGAGGCGGAUCCUAGUUAAGAGAUUCCACGGCCAAGACUAAGUCUAAGUAGAAAGUAAUAUUUCUAUUAUACACAUUGCGAGAUGUGAACUUUCAAAAUCCACAAAAUUGAGAAACUUAAGUAAAUUGAAGGCAAAAUGAAAUUGCACAAGAAACACGAGAAGGAGGUAGCAUCCCAUGUCAACAAAGAACUCAUAAAUCCUCAUUUACCCCUACCACCUUCUGAAGGACUAGAAGUGUGAAUGGAGGCUAGGUAGACAAAAGAGCCUUCAAGCUACAUAAGAAAGAAAGAACGAUGUAAGUGCAAAACAUCCAUUAUAAACAUUUCGUGAGAAUGGAAAAAAAAAAAUGAAUACAUCUUAUAUGUCAAUGAGGACAUUGACUCUCUAAAGUGGAGGAUGGUGUAAGGGUCUAAAGAAUCUGAUUCUUACACUUGUUGCGUUAAAAGGUAAUUGGAGCCCCGGCAAUCCCUAAGCCCAUGAGAAAGCCGUGGCUAGGUAGUGAUGGAGUGGAUGGGCGGGCGACCUCCCUCAUAUCGAGAGACCACACGAUGCAGGGGCAGCGUGUGGUGUGAGGAGAAGUAUUUUGGAAUCUCUUCGGAGUCCCGGGUGAUCCGAAGGAGUUAGGAGGACUUCUACUGACCAUCGAAGUUUAGUUUACUGGCAGCAUGAGUCUGGAGUUACAAAAACCAGACUAAGGUGACAAUAUCCGGGAGUAGGAUCCAGUUCACAGGGCUAGUAUUAAUGGGGUUUCUUGUUGGUGGUAUUUCAGGAUGAAAUCGAGUGACCAACAAGAGGAAGACCAUUACACAUGGUUGCUUGCUUGAUUUCAUUCAAUUGAACUCAACCACAUAAAUCAUUCAUCCUCUCCGUGGGCUGCAAGAGAGAGAAGAGAACUAUUGCAUAAGACAAUGGAAUUCAAGAGGUUCUAUUAUGUACCUUAACAUAACCUAUUCCAUCCUGUACUAAACUUCUAGUUAUACAAAAGUUACAUGUUUUAUUUAAAAUAUAUUUCUUACAAAAUAUUCGGUCUUGGAAAACUAAAGACACUUAAAGUCUUUUCUGCAUACAAUCCAAAAUUCAACAUAGAAAAAAAAAAAAAAAAAAAAUACUCAUACAAUUAAGUCUAAAUUGUCUUACUUGGUGUUUUAAGCAAUAAAGUUGCUGGUACAAAAUUGGUGCUAUUCAAAUUCUUUUGCACCAUAGAAUUAAAGUUACUUAGACUCUCUUAUAACAUGGAUAUGUUGAUCAAUAGCAAAUGAUCUUAAUCAGAUGAAGAAUUUAUUCCAAAUAAAGAUAGAACAAUAUGGUACCAAAAGCAAGGUAUUUUAAUUGAAUCCUUGUAGUUGUAUGCAUACAUUGGUGCAUUAUUUUGUAUUUUAGGACAUUGCUUAGAAUCAAUAAGACAAGAUAUGUCCCUUAAUUCAUGACACUCUAUAGAAUCUAUGAGUUAGGAAAAGGUGUUAAGGAACAAUGUGUCUCAAAUCUGAUAAAAGAUGAUGGAUAGAAGCUAAAUGAUGAGUAGAAUCAACUCCACCUGUGUCAAAGGACACUCAAUAAUUCCCUAAUUAUCAUCAUAAUUAAAUUACAUAAAUAAAAUACAAAGCAAAUUCUUAUCUCUGAUAGCUCAUCCAUAAUUCUUUGAGGGUGGUCUAUAAUCUCCAUGUUUGCUAAUUGAUACUAAACUUGGACAUAAUACGCAACACUUGCUGAUAAAAAGAAGUGUUAAAUCAAGGAGGGAUGAAAAGGAGGUAGGGGGAGGGAGAAAGAAGAGAGAUAUGUUGAUAUAACCCUCCAAACACUACAUGAAUUUUAAAUCCUACUAUACUACAUUCCAUAAUUUUGGCCUACUAUAUACACUUCUCCUAUAUCAAAAUCACCAAUCACUAAUAAAUUACUUCUUGGAACAUCUUAAAUCCUCCAUUCUUUUUGAUAUUAAAUCUAAUAUAGAAUAUCACUACAUAUAUGUUUGUUAUACAAGACAUAUUGGCCAUAUAGGAAGAAUUUAGGUUUAAUUAUUCAUUCUCCUAUUUUUCAAUAUUCUUUACUUUCUACAAUUUUGGAGGCUUUGGAAUUAUAGAAUGCAUCAUACAACAACAUAAAUAUUAGAAAAAUAAACACAAUAAUAUUAUAGAACUAUUGAUCUUGAUUGAAUUUUUAUACACUUCUCAACAACUAAGUUGGCAAUAAGCAUAUAAAAUUUGGAAAAAAUUGCAUGUACCAUGUAGAAGAAAAUUCUUGAAAUCCACUUAGGUAUUUGUCAACCUUCUACUUCAAUCUGAAUGUUGAACUUCUAGUACAAAUAUCUCCUUUUCAAAAUAUUUAGUUGUUUUUAAAUUAUACAAAUGUAUAGCAAAUCAAGUCUCUAACCUUCUUCCAUAAAUUUUAUUCCAAUCCAAUUUGUAGAUUGCUAAAGAUCUUAGAAAUCCUAACUACCUCUCAAAGUCCAAUUUCUGAGACCUCAACCUACCUAAAGUUUAAUAACCUUCAAUUCAACUAUUUGAUCAAAUUAAAACUUAUAUCAUACAUUUCAGACAACUAUUCACAUAAGUUCAUAAAUUUUGAACUAUUGAUCUAUUGCCAAACUUAUGAAAUUGUCCAAAAUAUAGUAUCCUAUUUAUUUCACAAAUUCGAGAGUCACCCAAAACAAUUGUGACUUUGCAAAGCUCUUACAAAGUCAUUACACACUCAAAUCACUUAAAUUAAAUGCCAAAAGAUGCCCUAUUAAGUUUGCACUCAAAUUUUGCUCUUAGAUCUGCAAUAGAACCUUGAAGUUGCUACUCUUGCAUGUUUUUGAGCCUCAAGGUCUGAUUUUGACUUAGGUUGAUAACUAGUCCUCUCCGGAUAUCAAAUUUUACCCUUUUGAGUUAUUUUUUGUUAAAAUCAACUUCUAACUUCCUCUUACAUAUGCUCAUAUGCUUUAUUUUUCUAAUCUAUCUUUUUAAUCUAUCUUAAAAAGAUAGAUUAGAAAAAUAAAGCAUAGAAAGUAGAUUACAAAUUUAUGGCCUUACAAAGUAAGUAGAAGCCUACUUUACAAAAAUGUCGCAUUUAAACCUUUAAUUCUACUUUCUUUUUGAUUAUUUUCUGUUUUCUAAGAUAAUUUUUUAUAAUAUUUGAAAUAAGAUCUUCUAUAAUAUAAUAGAUUUUUCACCACUUUCACCUAUUUAUCAUAUUACAUCAUAACAAUGAUUUCCGAAAAAGAUGAUAUAUCAAAAAAAAAAUUUCUAUAGCUACAAAUAGAAAUUGUGUGGCUAUAAUCAUAUGCAACAUGUAGUAAAGGUUUGUAAGUCCAACCAAUGCAUUUUAAUUGGUGGAUUGGUUAAAAACAUAGUUUUAAGUCAUUAAAUUAUAUAAAAUAUUAAAAUUAAAGAAUAUUUUUGACCAUUCAAGUAUUUAUAAAAAUUUAGAAGUAUUUAUAAUUUUUAAAAAUCUUAUUAGAAGAAAAGUUAUAAAAAUGGAGUCUUAGUUAGUGUUUAAUAUAAUUAACUUAGUUGAUUUAAAUUUUUUACUUAUUGUUAAGUAUUAAUAGUUAGUUAUUGAGACCAAUAUCUAUAUUGGCCUCCUAUUUAUAUGUAUUAUUUAUAAAAAUCCUAUCAAUGAUGAAUUAGUUGUUAUAAAAAGCAUAAAAAAGAAUUUCAUAUUUUUUUGAUUAAUUAUAUAGAAAAGAGGAUUUUUAGUGGAUUUAAAUUGAUUUUAUUAUUAUAAAAAAUCACCAAGAUGGAAUAAGAUAGCUUUAAAUAGAUAUAAAUAUUAUUAGAGUUAAUAGAAUUUAUUUAGAUUUAUUUAGGAUAUUUUAGAAAAAAUUUCAAGACUAUGGUAAAAUUGAAUUUUUCCACCUCAAGAGCCACUAUGAAAAAAUAUAAUAAGAUUUAAAAACCAUGUGAGAUUCUUAAAUCAUAUGAGUUUUUUAAAUACUAUGGUGAAUUACUAACAAUAAUUUGGAUUUACAUGUUUUUUACAUCAUUAGAAAGAGAAUAAAAUCACUUAUGUAAUAAUAUAUUUUUAAAUAUUUAUUUUUACUUUUUAUUGAAUAAAAAAAAUUUUAAAAAAUUCAUAGAGUACUUUUGUUGUAUAAAAUUACUUUAUUGCACCUAUUUCACUUAUUUAUUUAUUUAUAUUUUUUUUAUUCUUGUUUAUUUCAUUUUUUGCUUCACACCAACUAUUAAAAUCCUUUUUUAAUUGAGGCCAUCUUCUAAUUUGGAUUGAAGGAGAAAUUAACCCUCAUAAGAUCAUAUUCUUUCUUUAAAUCUCUUAUCUUAUUUUAUAAUAGAUAUAUGUUUAGGACCUAAAAAUUAUAAAGUCUUUGCGUAAUUAAAUUUAGAAGCCUCAGCUUGUUUUAUAGACAAAGACUUGGUCAAAAAUAAAUAAUACUUUAAUUUAAAAAAACUAAAUCCGUACAAGUAAUAGUCAUAGAUGGUUGUUUAUUAUCUUCUAAAGAUGUUAUCCAUGAAACUAUUCCUUUAGAUAUAGCAAUUAAAGAUUAUAAGAAUGUAACAAUGUUUAAUAUUUUAAGAUCUUCUUCUAAUUCAAUAAUUUUAGGAUUAUUGUCGUUAAAAAAAUAAAACUCUCAAAUAGAUUGGAUUUCUUAUAACCUUGAAUUUUUUUGUAGUUUAAUCCAAAAUUUUAUUAAUCAUAUAGAAAUAUAUAGGUCUAAUACAUCAAAAUCUUUAUUAAUAGGUAGAAGAACUUUUAUAUAACUUUUUUACUUGCUAUAUAUGCCACGCCUAUUCUUGAUGGUGAAAAGAUAUAAAAUGGUAUUUCUAAUUAGUAUUAAGAUUUUGAGGAUGUUAUUUAAAAGAAAAAUACAGAUAUUACUCUAGAACAUGGACUGUAUGAUUGUUCAAUUGAUCUUCAAGAAAGAGCUCAACCGCCAUAUGAACCAAUCUACAACUUAUUGCAAAACGAGUUGGUUGCACUAAAAGAAUACAUUAACAAGAACUUGGCUAAGAACUACAUAUGCCAUUUAAAAUCUCUAGCAUGAGCUCCUAUCUUAUUUUUGGAGAAAAAUGACAAAUCUUUGUAGAUGUGCGUAGAUUAUCGAGGACUUAAAAAAAUCACCAUCAAAAAUAGGUUUCUCUUACCUUUGAUUUUAGAAUAUUGUGACCAACUCAAUCAAGUAAAGAUCUAUACAAAAAUAGAUCUACAAAGAGCAUACAACUUAAUGUACUUUAAAGUAAGAAAUUAAUAGAAGUCUACUUUUAGAACUUGCAAUGGACAUUUUAAAUAUAAUAUCAUGUCUUUUGGACUCACAAAUGCACCAAUUAAUUUUUAACAUUUUAUGAAUUAUAUUUUUUAUGAGUUUCUUGAUGAUUUUGUAGUUUGGUUUUUAGAUGAUAUUCUAAUAUAUUCUAAGAAUAUAAAAGAAUAUGAAGUUUAUGUUUGUCAUGUGUUACAAAAACUUAAAAGUGUACAAUUGUAUGUCAAGAUAGAAAAGUGUAUAUUCUACACUACUUAAGUUGACUUCCAAGGAUACAUCAUUUUCAAUAAAGGCCUUAUUAUGGAUCCCAAGAAAAUCUAAACUAUUGUAGAUUGGAAGAUUUUAAGAACAAUAAAAAAAUAUCUAAUGAUAUUUAAACUUUUUUAGUUACUACUAGAUCUUCAUGAAGAACUUUUUUAAAGUUGUACCUCUACUUAUAUGUUUGAUUUGUAAUAACAAACUGGAGUGGAAUAAAGAAGCCAAAGUAUUGUUUCAUGCUUUAAAGAAGGAAUUUAUUUUUGUAUCAAUCUUGUAUCAUGUUGACUUGUCUAAGGUAUUUUUAAUAGAAAUAGACACAUUAGACUUUACCUUGGGUGUAAUAUUGCCACAAAUAAGAGAAAAUAAGAAACUCCAUCUAUUAUCUUUCUAUUAUAAGAAAUUUUUAAUCACAAAGAUUAACUAUAAAAUCUACAAUAAAUAAUUUCUUACAAUUGUAGAUUCUUUUUAAAAAUGGCAUCGUUAUCUUGAAGAUGCUUCUAAUAAUGUCAUUAUAUAUGUCAAUUAUAAGAACUUCAAAUAUUUUAUAUCAAUAUGCAUGUUGAAUCGUCACGAGACUUGUUAAAGCAUAUCAUUAUUAAGUUUGUAUUUCAAAGUCAUAUAUCAACUUAGCAAACAAUAAGGUUAUUUAGACGUACUUUUAAGAUAUUCUUAUCUUACACCACAGGAGGAGAUAUAGCUUUUGAUCAAGAAAGAACAACAAUCUUAAAGCUUAAGAAAUUUCAUCUUUGAGCAAUGAAAUCAAUAUUAACCAUUGAUUCAAUCUCUGUCAAGCAUAUUGAAUCAAGUAUGUUUUUUAAUCCUCUUGUUCAUGAUAUUAAGAAUAAUUCUUUCAAAUCUUAUGAUUUUACUAAGUUUGAGUUCAAGAACAAUGUAUUUUAUUUCAAAAAUUAUCUAUAUGUUCUAGAAGAAGAAGAAGGAUGUUUCUUUAUUCUUUAAGCUUGUCACAACUUUCCAAGGGCAGGAUAUUUUGAAUACAAUGACACUUUGAAGCUAAUAUCUAGAGAUUUUUUGUGGCCGUAAAUGUAGAAGAUUGCAAGAGACUUUGUACAAUCAUGUAAUUGUUCAAGGUUAAAAACUCAUUGCUAUUGUUCUUAUGGACUUUUCCAACUAUUGCCUACACCAAAAUAACCAUAGUCUUUUGUUUCUAUGGAUUUUAUUAUGGAUCUUCUAAGUUCAAAUUUAUAUAACUUUAUAUUUAUAAUUGUAGAUUAUUUCACCAAAAUGAUAGAUUUUAUAUCAUGCACAAAAUCUAUUUCAUGUAAAGAAAUAAUGAAGUUUUUUUUUUGACAAUAUAUAUUACUAUCAUAGAUUAUUAAAGGAUAUUAUAUAAGAUAGAGAUCAAGAUGAAAAAAAAAAAAUUAUUAUAAAAGAAACAAGAGUAGAUUGGAAUUAUAUUCUAUCUUCUGUCAUAGUCAAUGGCUUUUGCAUAUUCAAGAUAUUGAAGAUAGAGAAUUAAUAAUCAAUAGACCUAAGUUAAGAGCUAGCAUUUGCUAAUUUAUUAGAUGAGAAAUUAUAAUUAUUACAAUGGAAUAAAAACAAAGAUUUUUAAGAACAUGUUCUUUCUUGAAUAAAUAGAAAAAUACAACAUGUUUGAUAUCAUGACAUUAGAAAAGACUUUAGAUGUUUGGUGAUAUUACUAGAGAUUGAAACUACAUCUGUUGGACUUUCAAAUGUUUCAUUUGAAAAAAGCUAUGAAGGUUCCAACAAUGAUCAAAUAUUAGGAUGAUAUAUUUGCUUUAAUAUAGGAUAUUAUCAAUGGUUAAAAGGACCUAUCAACUAUCUUUGAAGAAACAAAGACUAAAAUAUAUAAAAAAUGUAACUUUUUACAUCUUCAAUUUUAUCAACAUGUGAUUACUAUUUCUUGUAGAACUUGUCCUUAAAAGGAUGAAGAAUAAUGUCAUAGAUGGAGAUGUUUAUAUAGAUAAAAAGUGUUAGAUAAAAAAUAAAUGUAGGUAGAACUCAUGAUAUUUUGAGGGACAACUUCUUACAAACUUUUUAAACAUGUAUUUGAAUUUAGGCAUAUUUGUAGUUGAUUCAUAGAUUAGAAACUUUGCCAAUAAAUUAGCCACAUAUUCCACAUAUUAGUAGCUUAUAGAAUAAGCUGACUAGGUAGUGUACAUAUAAGAAGCUUGUCUUAUAAGUUAGAGAUGUGGAUCACAAGUUAGAUACAUAUUGGAGGACCUAUAUAAUGUUGCCAUUUAAUUCUUAGUUAGAUAGUAUAUAUGGAGAUAAGAGUGAAGUCUUCUCCAGUCUUGUAUCAAGGGCAUGAACUGAAAGAAAAUGCAUAAACCUGAGAAAUUUGUAUUUAAAAAAAAGUGACAAAAUAGAAAUAAAGAAGUAUGUAUAUUAAAAGAAAAUUGUAAUGGCUAUUGCUAUAAGAUAAGAAAAUUAGAGACUCUUGAAUAUAGAAUAAAAGAAAGAAAAGAGUUGAGUAGAAUGAAGAGGACUUUAUUCUUGCUUUUAUAUAUACUAUCUAGUUAGAAGCUACAUGUUGAUGUUCUAUGACACCUCGAAUAUGUGUUGACUUUGCAAGACACAUGCCUUAGCUUAUAAGGCAAGUUUUUUACAUGUGGGCCACAUAGUUAGCUUAUUCUUCUAGCUACCAAUGCUUGUGGUACAUGGCCAACUUAUUGACUAUGUUUUUAAUCAAAAAAAUCAACUAAAGACACCUAUAAAGUCAAAACAAUGUCUAUUAAGCUUCUAAGAAGUUUUUAUAGAAGAUAUUAUAGAAUUAACUUACUUUUAUCUACUUUUAUCUAAAUCAUAUAGGUAAUUAUUGGUUUAUAUGUAUAUGUCAGUGACAUUACCUCCUCUUCAAGAGACAAGUUCCACAAGGAGCGGUCUUUAUAUAUUGAGGAAAUUCAAGUUGCAGAAAAUUAUAUUUGUUACAUACUUGGAUCUUUGUUCUCUUUGAAGAUAGUUGAUAGGCCCUCUCCACCAUCAAUAGUGUCAUAUAUAAGGGCAAAAAGACCACCCUAUUAUUUAAUCGUCAUUUAGGGCUUCAUUACUUCUUUCAAAUAAAAUAUUUGGAACACCGUCACGACUUGUUCCUAUUUUUAAUAAAAUCACCAAUCAUCGAGAGUCUCUUUUAAGGUUGUGAUACCAAACACAUUAUAUCUCAUUGUCUAUUUGAAGAAUGACAUAUCAUUCUUGAAGAUCUUCAUCUCAAUUUUAUCAUUUUAAAGGUUGAGACAAUCGCAAUGGUUCAUUUAGUAAGUUUGCAAAUAAAAGUUCUUGAGUUGAAUCUAUUGGUUGUUGGUUCUCCGUCUCUUUAGUGUCACAAAUAUAAAGAAGCUACUAAAAAAGAUAGAAGGUAGAAUGUAAUGUUUCUUAGACCUUGUUUCUUUUAUAGUAAAGACUUACUAUUCUUCAAUUUGAUUUAGAUGGAUGUCAUCAAUGAAAAGCUUCCACUACCUUUGUUGCAUUUACAAGAUUCUUUACUAACUUCUAUGUGUGUUCACUAAUAUCAUAUCUAUGCUAAUAGAUAAGAUAUUCUAAUUUAUUUUGAUGUUGCCUUGAAUCUAAAACUUCUUCUACUUCAAGCUCUUCAUUAUUGUUGACUUCUAUAAGAAGAGGUAGAACUUGUUUUUUUUUUGGUAUAUUCAUAGUCUUGUAUGGUUUAAGAAGAGACAUAUAGAAGAUAAGAUAGAAAUAUAUUACUUUUGAUAGAUAUAAUCAAUAAAUAAUUGGAUUAAUUUAUCCAUAAAUAGAAAAAGGUCUAAACCUAUGAUAGUCCAAUUUAGCACAAGGACGAGUAGUCUUGAUAUUACGACAAAGCAACCAUAUCUUAUCACAUACAUUAAAUUAUGGUUAUUCCUUUCGAUAGGUAUCGGCAUUGAUCUUUUGUCCCUCUCAAGCUUCUUUUAAUUGCACCUUCAUUGUUACAUGUGACUCUGAUAAAUGAUUUUUUAAAUCUUUUAUUAUAAGAUUAUCAAUUUUUGAAAAGUAAAAAGUAUCAAGUUAUAGAUGGUAACCAUAAUUGGCAAAAAAAAGAUGUUUGUUGCAUAGAAAAAUACAUCAUAUUAUUAUAAGUAAACUCUGCCAAUGGUAAGAGGGUUCUCCAAUCGUCUUGUUAAUAAUUAUUGGUACACCUUAAGUAUUGCUCUAAAACUUAGUUUACAUGCUUUAUUUAUCUAUCAAUUUGAGGAUAAAAGGCUAAAAAAAGAUUUAUGUCCAAUUUCAAAAUCUAAAAAAGAGUUCUCUAAAAUCUUGAUAAAAAUUGAAUCCUCCUAUCUAAUAUAAUAUCUUUUGACAAUCCAUGAUAUCGAUAGAUACUGUCAAAGAAAAUCUUGGCAGUUUCUUCACUUCUAAUAGAUUUUGUGCAUGGUACAAAAUAAGCCAUAUGGUAAAACAAUCUACUAUCACAAAUAUAGAAUUAUAUGAUCCUAAGAUUGGAAGAUCUAUAAUAAAAUCCAUAGAAAUAAAAAACCAUGGCUAUUUUGAAAUAGGUAAUAGUUGAAGAAGUCCAUAAGAUUGAUGCCAAGGAGUUUUUGACUCUAAAAAAAUGUUAUACAAUUAAACAAAGUUUUUAUAGCCUUCUAUAUUUGUGGCUACUAAAAAUCUCUAAAUAUUAGCUCUAGAGUCUUAUUAUAUCUAAAAUGUCUUACUAUUGGAAAGUUCUAAUGUAUUUGAAGAAUAUAUAAACGUGAUUCUUCUAUUGGCACAUAUAGACAUCCUUCAAAAUAAAAUAGAUUGUUCUUGAACUCAAACUUAGAAGUAUCAUGAGAUUUAAAAGAAGUUUUCUUAAUAUCAUGAAUAAGAGGAUCAAAGGACAUACUUGAUUAUAUUUGUUUGAAAAAUAUUGAAUUAAUAGUCAAUGUUGAUUUCACUAUUCAAAGAUGAAAUUAUUCUAGCUUCAAUAAAAUUAUCUUUUAUUGAUCAAAAGCUGAUCUCCUUCUUUAGGUGUAAGAUGAGAUCAUCUGGAAAGAUCAUCAAAAAAAUCUUCUUAUUUCUUAGUCAAUAAGUGAUAUUGAACUCAAAUCUUAAUAAAGACAUACUCCAACGAGCUUGGUGAUGAUUGAAAAUUUGAUCUCAUAUGAAAUACUCAAGGUUCUUGUGAUCUGUAUAUACGAUAUUGGAGUAGAAGUACCUUUUAGAUAAUGAUGCUAUUCUUAAAAAGAAUCUACAAUUACAAAAAGCUCUUUGUUGUGGAUCUCAUAGUUAAUCUUAGCUAUUAAAAACUACUUGGAAUGAAAAGCUACUAAGUGAAGUUUAUCAUCUAUUCUCAUUUGUGAUAAUACAAUACCUAAAGCAAAGUCCAAUGCAUUUGUUUCUAUAAAGAAUACCUUAGAAUAGUCAACGCGAUACAAGAUUAGUAUAAAAACAAAGGCUAACUUUAAAGCUUGAAAUGUUGCUUCUACUUCUUGAUUCCAUUAAAGUUUAUCUUUACAAGUCAAAUGUAUCAAUGGAGCUCCAAUUCAAGAGAAGUCUUUGAUAAAGAUCUGACAAUAAUUGGCAAAUUUUAAAAAAUAUUGGACAUCUUGCACUAUUUUAAGGAUCUUCUAAUCUAUAAUAGUUUAAACUUUCUUUAGAUCUAUCAUAAGUCCAUCGUUUGAGAUUAUGUAACCUAAAAAGUCAACUUGAGUAGUAUAAAAUAUAUACUUUUUUAUUUUGGCAUAGAGUCCUCCAUCUCUUAAUUUUUAUAACACAUGAUGAAUAUGAAGUUCAUGUUCUUCUGUGUUCUUAGAAUAGAUCAAGAUGUCAUCUAGAUAAUAGAUAAUAAAAUCAUCCAAAUACUCUCAAGAAACAUCAUUUAUAAGAUGUUGAAAAGCUGCUAGUACAUUUGUAAGUCCAAACGGUAUGACAUUAUAUUCAAAAUGUCCAUACUUGGUUCAAAAUAUAGUCUUCUAUUCAUCUCCUCCUUUGAUGUAUAUCAAAUUCUAUGCUCCUCAUAGAUCUAUUUUUGAAUAGAUCUUAGCUUGAUUCAACUGAUCAAGAAGUCUAGAUAUUAAAAGUAGUGGGUACUUAUUCUUGAUGGUGAUCUUGUUGAGUCCUCAAUAAUCAAUACACAUCAAUAAUGAUCCAUCUUUUUUCUUCCUAAAUAGAAUUACGGCGUUUACUGGAGAUUUAGAAUGGCAUAUGAAGUUCUUGGCUAGAUUUUCUUUAAUAUAUUCCUUGAUUUUGGCCAACUCAUUUUGUGAUAAAUUGUAGAUUGGUCUAAAUGGCAGCUGUACUCCUUCUUGAAGGUCAAUUGAACAGUCAUUUGGACAAUAUUCUAAAAGAGUAUUCACAUUUUUUUUUCAAAUAUAUCUUAAAAAUCCUCAUAUUGGCUUGGAAUACUACUUAAAGUCUUUGUACCAUUAGAAACGGGUGUUGCAUAAAUGAUACAAGGUGAUCUUUUUUUUUGUAGUAUAUAAGAAAGCUCUUAUACCUACAAAAAUAGGUUUAAUUAUAUUAGACUUGUGAUUUUUUACUUGAUUAACUACCUUCUUAGUUAUACUUUUAGAAAAGUCAAGAAUAUGAGAAAUCCAAUCUACUCAAGGGUUAUAUUUUUUUAACCUCAAUAAAUCUAAAAUGAUUGGAUAAGAAGGAGAUCUAAUGAUAUUAAAUACCACAAAGCUAUUAUGACCAUUAGUUAUUACUUCUAUAGGAAGAAUUUCGUGAAUAAUAUCUCUAGAAGAUAACAAGUGACCAUCUGUGACUUCUAUGUAAACAUGUUUAGUUUUCUUCACUAAAAAUAUAUUAAGUCUUUUAGUAAAUUUUUCAUCUAAGAAAUAUGUAGAGACUCCUGAAUCUAACAAGGUAGAGACUUUGUAAUGCAUAGGUCUUAAAAUAAUACUUAAUAUAAAACAAGAAAAAGGUUCUGAAGAGAAAAUAGGACCUUCAUUAGAUAUUGUACAAGUUUUUAGCUACAUGGUCCCUAUUCUAGUUAGAUUAGUUCAUUUUUUGAUAUAUUAUCUUUUUUGUCAUUCGUACUCAUCAUUUUAUAAUUGUAUUGCUUCUUUGGAUGCUCAGUACGAGGUUUAAAACAUACUAUCAAAAAAGAUUAUGCUUACAUUAAAAAAAACCUAAGCACACUACAAAACAUUGUCCAAAGAAGCAAUACAACUAUAAAAUGAGGUCUUUUCAUUCUGAGUACAAGGUUUAAAACAUACUGCAUCAAUUUACAUAUUCUCAACUUUUGAGUAUAUGUGUUGAAGAGAUAUUGAUAUUGCUAUUGAAUUAUAGUAACGUUGAGGCCUACUUGUCCAACUCUUAGAUCAAAAUUUAAAAAAUAGAUUAUCAUACUUCAUAGCAAAGUCAAUUGCUUGACUCAAUGUUUGAGGAUGAGAUAAGUUGAGCAUUAAUUUCUUUACUUCAUAUUAUAAUCUAUAGAAAAAUUGGCUAAUAAGUCUAACAUCAUCUCACUUGAUAUCACUUGUAAGUUGUUGAAAUUGUGAACAUAUAAUAUUAUGGAUUGAUUGCCUUGUGAUAAAAUACACAUCUUCUUGGUUGCAGCAUGAAUUGCAUCAUGUUUUCUAUACAUGGAUCAAAACUCCACUAAAAAAGCCUCCAAAUUAUCCAAUAUUCGAUCUUGUUGUUCAAAAAAAGAUAAAAACCAUGAUAAUGCUAAACCUAAAAGAAGUAUACCAAUGAAUUUAACUUAUGAUCUUAGAGUUGGAUAGCUUUGGGAUUGAAGUUCAAUCAUAAGUUGUACUUGAUUGAUAAAUCUUUGAAAUUUGGAUCUUGUUCCAUCAAACUUCUCAAGGAAGGCAAGUCUUGGUUCUCUAGUACUGGAAGGAUGUUCCACGACAAGAGAAGGGAUAUGAUUGGAUGCCGAUGUUGAAGCAAAUCCAAUCAUAUCUAUAUCAUCACCCCCUGCCAUUCUUGUUGUUCUUUGUCAUUAUAAACUGAGUUGAUGCAUCAUAAGCAUUAAUUCUCUCAAUUACUCUAACAUUUAUGCCAUUGCACUUAUAAUUUUAAAAAGCUUUUCCAUGAUAAUAUCUAAUAAAAAAAUAUCUAAUAUUGCUCAAGACAAGCAGAAGAGGGGACUUAAGAACAAAGAAGCUACUAAGAACAAUAUUAGUUUACAAAACGGUAAUCUGAAACUUCUAAUACACUUAAGAAAAAACAAUAAUCCACUCUUAAUCAAGAAAAAAAAAGUUCUAAUAUUAUAAAUGUAUUUUUAUCAAUCUGUCAAUGACAUGAAUUGAAAGAAAAUGUAUAAACCUAAGAAAUUUGUAUCUAAAUAAAAGUGACAAAAUAGAAAUAAAGAAGUAUGUAUAUGGAAAGAAAAUUGGAAUGGCUAUUGCUAUAAGAUAAGAAAAUUAGAGACUCUUGAAUAUAGACUCCAAGCAAGAAAGGAGUUGACUAGAGUGAAGAAGACUUUACUCUUACUUCUAUAUAUACUAUCUAAUUAGAAGUUACAUGGCGAUGUUCUAUGACACCUCUAAUAUGUGUUGACUUUGCAAGAUACAUGCCUUAUCUUACAAGACAAGUUUUCUACAUGUGGGCCACAUAGUUAGCUUGUUCUUCUAGCUACGAAAGUAUGUGGUACAUGGCCACCUGUUGAACACGUUUUUAACCAAAAAAAUCAACUAAAGACACCUAUAAAGUCAAAGCAGUGUCUAUUAAACUUCUAGGAAGCUUUUAUAGAAGAUAUUAUGGAAUUAAUCUACUUUUAUCUACUAUUAUCUAAAUCAUAUAGGUAAUUAUUAAUUUACAUGUGUAUGUCUAUGACAUCUUGUCAAUAUCUUUCUUGAUCUUAUUCUAAUCUUAAGAGUCCAAAUUCUUUUUGUCUUUGGCAAUAGUCAUUCUAAUCUUAAUACUAUAAUAUUUUUAGAAUGAAUAUUUAUUCUUCUUAAGUUAUAAAAGAAUAUUUCAAGAUUUACCUUAUUUUUAUUCUUUUUCUUAAUUUAAAUCUUGAUAAGUCAAUAAUGUGGUAUAGAGUCAAGGAAGAAGAGAGUUGAUAUAAGCCAUUUAAUUUGUGAUAUUUCACAAAUCACUCUUAUAGUAUUUGGAUUUCAAAAUCACCCACUUUAUGAAAUGGAUGAUUUGGUGAAGUAUCAAGUGUUAUUUUCUUAAAGACAAGAUACUAACAAGAUUUUUGUUUUUAUAAACUUACAACUUAUUUGAGCAAUUAGUAGUAGCCAAAGGCCUAACACUUUUUUAAGCCAAAACUCUCUCUAUUAUGAUAACAUCAACAAAUUCAAUUUGAAUGAACCGGUCCAAAUUUUUGAAUUUAAAUAUUAGAAUGCAUCAAAUGUACUAUUUAUUUGAGAAUAAAUUAUUUUUAUCAACCAAAAUUAUAAGAUGGCCUUAAUUAAGAGUUGCUUGUAAUUGGUGGUAUGAAGAAGAAGUAGCAAGAAACAAGAAAAAAAAAGGAACAAUAUAAAAUAAGUGAAACAAGUACAAUCAAGUAAUUAAUGAUUACAAAAUUAGUCACAAUCUAUUUACUGGAUUUUUAUAUAAUAAAAAAUAAAAAUAAAAUUUUAGGUAGAUAAUUUUUUAAAUAUUUCUAAUUAUUUAUAAAACAUAUAAAUCCAAGUUAUUAAGAGUAAGUUAUGAUGGAUUAAAGAUAGAAUAUAAAUAAUAGAAAAGUGAAGUGAAUAACUUUUACCUCAACAAUAACUUGGUUAAAAGAUCAAAAAUUCGAGCCUCACUAAGGCUUACAAGUAGUGUAUAUCGGUCUUCUAAAGAGGCCAUGAGGCCUUAGUCUUAUCCUCCUACCUACAUCCAAGGUGCUACAACCUACAUGGAACUUGUGAACCUCCCUUUCUAUAAGGACUAUACUAGCUGCUAGUCCUUUUAUUUCCUACUAAUAAAACUAACAUUUUUUCUUUUUUUACUUCACCAUGGUGUUCAAAUACAUCCAAUUAGCACAUGAAUCUUCUAUAGCUUUCAAAUUUUGUUUCAUUUCUUCAUAAUGGCUCCUAAAGAUGGUAAAAGUUAUUUUUACCAAAGUCUUAAAAUCUUCUUUAAAUAAAUUCUAAAUAAAUUCUAAAUAAAUUCUAAAAUAUAUUAUAAUAUUUUUAUAAUACUAAUAUCUAUUUAAAGCUAAAUUUUUCUAUCUUGGUGAUUUAUUAUAGUAAUAAAAUCAAUUUAAAUUUACUAAAUAUUUUAUCUUCUAUGUAAUUAAUUGAAAAGACAUGAGAUUCUUUCUCAUGCUUCUUAUGACAAAUAAUUCAUCAUUGAUAGGAUUUUCAUAAGUAUAUAGAAUAUAAAUGUAUGUAGAUUUGAUCAUACCUUGUGGCAAAGCUUCUUAAAAGUUUUAUAGACAUGGAUUUAACUUUAGUCGUGUUUUUAGUUGAUUGAUAGAUUUAAAUAUAAAUAUCCAUAUGGUUAGUAAUUAAAUAUUUACUCUUUUUGAGUGUCAAAAGAAUGUAUUGAAGAUUUUAUUGUCUAAAAUUCAUAUCUUUAAUAUAUAGAGAGCAUAUUUUUUUAAUAACAUACAUUUGCAAGCUUGAUAUUUUAUCAAUAAAAUUCUUAAAUUAAUACAAGAAGAAUUUUUUAUAAAUGAUAUGUAUAUUCAAAUUAACAUAAGGGAUUUGAAAUCAUUUCUACAUACUUACAAAUACAACUCUAUUUUUAAUAAAUAUUAGAAGAAAGAUCCCUAUUACAAGAAUGAGUCUUAGAAUAACUUGUUACAAACAUAUAUAUAUAUUCUAGUAAUUUUCUAAAUAAUAUGAAUAGGUAAAAGUAGAUAAAAGUAAAUUAAUUUAAUAAUAUCUUACAAAAAAGCUUUCUAGAAGCUCUAUAGAUAUGGUUUCAUCUUUACACAUGUUUACAAGUAAUUGAUAGAUUGAAUACUUGGCCAACAAAUUAGCCACAUGUUGCACAUGUUGGUAGCUUGUGAUACAAGCUAAUCAUAUGGUGUACAUAUAAAAAACUUGCCUUGCAAGUUAUGUCACAUGUCUCGCAAAUUAGACACAUCUUAGAAGUCUUAUAGAAUGUCUCCAUGUAACUUCUAGUUAGAUAGUAUAUAUAAAGAUAAGAGUGAAGCUUUUUUCAUUCUUGUCAACUACAUUUUUUCUUCUAAUCUAGUUUCAAGAAUCUCUAAUUUUCUAAUCUUUGGUAAUAGCUAUUCUAAUUUCUUCUUGAAUAAACAUAUUUUCUUAUAAUUAUUUUGUCAUCUCUCUUUGAUACUUAUCUCAAUUGUUUAUGUAUCUUCUUUGAGUUCUUGGUCUUGACACAAUCAAAGAUCAAAUAAUAUUAGAUAUAAUAAAAAAAUAUUUUUUUCCUUAAAUUACAAAAAUCUAAAACAUUAUAUUAAAAAAAUUUAAUUUUUAAAAUAAAUGAUAAAUAUUUUAAUAAGUUUUAUAAUUUCUAAUUAAUUUUUAUUCAAAAUCAAAACAACCAAGAAAAUUAUCAAUUAUAUAUAGCUUUUAUAUUUAAUUUAGUAAGUAUAUCAUCCAUAAUUAAUCAUCAUUGAUAUCUAGAUAUUAAUACUACUUAAUAUAUGUCUUAUGACAAAAAAAACUUUUUAAAAUUGUAAACAAUAGCCAAAUUAUUCUUUAAUUUAAUUAAGUGAGAAUACUACCUAUAUAUUUGAAGAUUAAGGAGAUUUCGUACUAAAUUUAUUUAAUAAUAAAAUAAAAUAAAAUUCUAAUAUUCUACAUUUUUUAGCCUUUUAAAAAACUUAUUUUUACUAAUAUAAUUUAAGAAAGUUGAUAGAAAGGUUUUAAUAUUAAAAAUAGAAAUAUUCACAAAAAAUAAUAUUGUUAAAAUACUUACUACCUAUUUAUUGGAAAAUGAUAUGUAUAAAAUUAAUAGUAUUUAUAAAUUUGAUUCUAGCAUAAUUGCUUGUCUUAUUAUUGUCCAUGAUAAAACAUAUUUACAACGUUAUUACUUAGAUUAUAUAAAUAAACAAAAACUAUAGCAACUUAAAUCAAUAUUUAUUGGCAAGAUACUUAUGAUGUCAAUAUUAUACUAUUAUUUCAACCUUUAUUAUAAAUAAAUAAUAUAAAUUUUUUAUGUUUUUUAAUCAAUAAAACUUUUUUUAUGCUACAAGGUUGUUGGAACUAAUUUUUGUUGUGAAUUAUUUAGACUAAUUAAUCUACCAACUUACUUUUUAUUUUUAUAUUUCUUAACUUUUAUUAAUAUCAAUACUUGAUAUUCAAUUGUUUAUUUAUUUAAAAAUAAAUUAAUAAUCUUUGAUAAGUUUUAAAGAUAGAAAUAAUUUGUAUAAAAUAAAACUUCUUAAAAGUCAAUUAUUCUUUGUUCAUAUAGCAAUAGUAAAUAUAAGUCUAAAAUUUUAUUUAUUUAUUUAUUUUAUUUUUCUAAGAACAUGGUAUUCAAUAUCUAACAAAUUUAUAUAGUCAAUUUUAAAAAAUAUCUAUCACUCCUAAAAAUGACGAUGCUUUUUACUUUUGUAACAUCAUUUAGCUCCCAAGCAAAGAUCUCAACAAAUAAUAUAUUCUUACAAAGAACUAAUACUAUUCAUAGAAGGUUAAACAAAUUCUUAAUUCAAAUCCUAAAGUUAAGAAACAAGCUUUGAUUAUUAAUACAAUCCAUGAGCCCACUACUUUUAAACAAGCUUUGGCUAGUCGUUAUUUCAAAGAAUAACAAUUAAUCAUUGAUAUAAAAACAUUUAGUUUUAUUUUAAAACAAAAUGUUGCCAAGAAUUUUAUUUUCUAAAGAAUGUAAAUCUAUUAUCUCUAGGUAGAUUUUAAAAAUUAAAUAUAAUAUUGAUAAUUCCAUCAAUAAGUUCACCCUUCUUUUACUACAUGGACAUUCUUUUAUGCUACACACCUCUCUAUACACACAAUAAAACUCUUAUUUAUCCUGAAUUGUUUUACGACAAGUUUUCAAUAAAAAAUUUCUUAAAUGAAAUUACUAAUCUUUUAAAGUGAAUGAAAGACUUCAAUAAAGCAAAUUAUGAAAUCUUGUCAAAUUUACUAAAUAAGCAAAAAGAAGAAGAAGAAGAAGAAAGAAAAGAAAAAAAAGAAAAAAAAGAAAAAAACAUGCCAUAAGCUAAAUCACAUAGAUUUACUUAUACAAAUUUAUCCUAAAAAAUUUUAGUGGAAAAGAGAGUUAUUGUCCGUAUGUAGGGAUGGCAUAAGACACAAGAAUUUGCUUUAAUUAGACACAGUCCCUCUUUACAAUCAAAUUGGGUAAUUUUUUAAAAAACUGCACUUCACAAAAACUACCUACAAUCUUUGCAAUCUCCUAAUUUGAAACCAAUGCUACACGUGAAAACAUUGUUGCAUCUCCUUUGCCCUACACAUCUUCAAACUUGCAAAUGCCAUAUCUAUCAAUGUUGCAUUCAAAUGAGAAAGGGUUCCUUUGUUAUCCACUCCUUCCUAAUACAAGGAAAUUCUUCAUCCUAAACACCUCUACUUUACUCCACGCUCACUCACUCACUGUCUCUCACCACCAUUGUCUCUUGCACAUAUCAAUCAUCGUCGAAGUUAGUUGGGCUUUGGUGACUUCAAACCUUUCAACUCAUCAGCUUCCUCCUCCUCUAAAAGUCCCCACAAACUUUGCCAGCUUCCGUUGGGUGACUCCAGCCAAAUGCUCAAUUUCAAGUCCUAAUCUUUGCGAACACUCUCUUCAACUCUAUUGCCUCUCGGAAUCAUUUAGCUGAAACCAUCACUUUUAUCCACAGCUAACCGCCAGAAGCACCCACUUCCACACUGCUUUGAAUCCUUCACAAAUACAACACCGAGACUGCGUUCCCUCCUUGAAUUGUUGCGGCCACACACCCGCUUCACCCUCUAGUUCGGCUCCACUCCAGUCACUUAUCAAACAUACCACUAUUCCAGGCCAUGGUCGCAAUCGCUGCCUCCUAAAACCAUUCUUUGUCACCGACUCACAUUCCUUCGCCUCGCCCCUUCUUCACUUCUGCUCCUCUGGGCUCCACACGAUCGCCAUGUAUGCGAUCAUUUCCAUCCGUUGUAAGAAAAAGCGAAUACGAACUUGUCCAAACUACCUCCUUGUUCCGUUGUUCGUCCAAGCAACUUACUAGUCCUUCACAGAGUUCCGCAGACCUCAAACGUUGUUGCCAACACUCGGCCUACACACCGUCUCCGCUUUCCUACCUGGGCAGCAUCCUGCUGAGUCCGCCCAGUCCAAUGUAUUACGUACAAUAUCACCGAUGCGUCCAGGCCUCUUCGACACAUCUCCGUGUUUACAAAGGCUCUGUCCAGUAGCUCUUUUUCCUUGCUGCCCGCCUUGACCUUGUACUUUUCUUUGAACAAAUUCAGCACCUCUCCCUCUCCAUUGUUGUACAGAAUCUCAGAAUUGCCCGAAUCGACGUCGAUAGUCUUGACUCUGCCAUCACAUCACGUCCGUUCCGAGGUGCAGUACACCGAAACCGCAUCCCCGCGCUCAGCCUCGUAUGUCAAAUACUUUGUUCUCUCCGAUCUCCACCAGCAAUCAUCGAGUACGACUUUCUUUUCUUUUCUCUUGCUUGUCUUUGCAGGAUCACGUGGUUACUGCAAACGCUAAACUUCUGUGGUAACCCUGUGGCGCUUAUUCCCAUGAGUGCACAAGAUGAUUGACCUCGCAACAACCUCCUCAAUAAGCACCGCAAGCCUCAAAUCCUGUCUCUUCUCAACUAUUUGCGUACUAGAUAAUAAUAUCAAAAUGAAAAAUAUCAAAAGGGCAAAAUGAUAAUUCAAAAGUCUAGAUGCAAAUAUAAGGCUUUUAUAAAAAAAAAUGUAUCAUAUUCUCAUAACAUCAAACACCAUUCCUCGAUCUCGCUUGAACUCAUCCAUACAUGCAAAACCAAUUUACAACUACUAAACAAAGUCAUGAUCGACAUCUUAACUAUUACUUACCUAACAAACAUUUACUGCACACAAACAUGCAAGGUAAACAAAAUGGAAGAACUGUGCAAUAUACAUUAUCAAUUCCAAUAACUGUAUGUCAUAAUGGAGAGAAACACAGCAAGCUCCCCACUUCUGAGGUCCUCAACAUCUUCACUGUG
rnacentral:lncRNA from 1 species